rnacentral:lncRNA from 1 species
AUUGCUAACUUGCAAUACUUAUCAUAAUUAUCAUGCUCCCACUAACAUGAUGAUUAUUAGCAUAACACUUAUGCUCCCACUAGCUUUGACAUGUACUCAGAAAUCAACUGACUUCCUUACCAAAGUUCAUAUUUCUGAUACUAGAUUGUUUUGAUAAAACUUUAUCAAAAUCAUACACCUUCCCUUAGAUAGCACACUUGUGUGUCUAAACAAUUAUGAAGAGGGAUGCCGUAAUCAUAAUGGUUAGACCUUUUUGCCACUUCUCACAAGUCCAGGUUAGUGUGCCGGUAAACCACACACGCUCCACUAACGACUUUGAGAAUGCAAAUAUCACAAUUGCUAUCUAGCUAAAAUCUACUUAGUGAAAGUGUUUCCUCACCAUCAUUUUCAUGAAUCGGAGAGAAACCUUAUGACACUUAGAUUUACUGGUGUAUGUGUUCUUAUCCAUGUGAAUUGUCAAGACCUUAGUCACAGGAAAAGGGUAAUGACAAAUCCAAACUCAUAUCGAUUGAACUCAAUCUUAACUUCUUGCCACCUGGCAACUCAAGGGCCUUCCAUUGCUUCCAAGUUGUUGUGCAACACAUUGAGAACUCUAAGAACUCAUAUNCUUUAACUAGAAUGGGCACAGAAUAUGUCAACACGAUAGGUUAUAAACCGCAAGUCGUGUGCUAGUGAAGAACUUCAGGUUUUAUUCUUGAUUGGUUCUUGAGACUUUCAAGACCUUUAAGAAUCCCACUGUCCUCUUGACCUAUAAGACUCCCUUGUCAAAUAUCCAAGAGAUAGUGUGGAUUCUCAUCAAGACAAACACUUCACAUAAUUGGCCUAAGUUGGUCUUUGUUUUAUCCAAAACAUCACAACUUACCAAUUUCAAAUGUACAAGAGUAGAAAACUUUUACUCUUACAUUUGACAAGUGUUUUAAACCUUCUUUAAGACAUGUCACUCAAGUUACAAUCUUGGAGUAUGACUCUAAGACUUGUAUUGGAACGAAGUAUGACUCAUCUUCUUGAUUUAACCAUUUCAACAAUUCAAGUUCCUCUUCUUAGUCAUAAGAAUGCACUAAGAUUUCCUUAGAGAACUAAUUUUGAUAUGGUUUCUUAAUCAUUAAGAUGAUCACAAAACUGAUACUAAAGUACUCUCCCAUCUUUUCAGAUUUGAGAAACUUUUAUCCUUCUGCCUAAUUUGAUUCUUCUUAUUCGCUCUGCCAUACAUUGGAACCUUUUCCAAUGUCUCAGAGUUACACUUAAGCUUGUAAGUAUAAUCAUAUUUACUGAGCUUUAGUAAACUAUGACGAAUAGUCUUAUCAAUCUUUUGUGGUGGACUUAAUCAGUGCACAAGAAUGUGUACUCGAUCCCUUAGUCCUUUACUUGACUCACACAUCCAUGUGGCCGAGUAAUUAGUCUUAAUUUUCCAAAACUUGAAAGUUCUCAUUCAUCAUGCUAUACAACUUGCAUGAUUCCAAGUUCCGGUCCAAUUGAAACUUGGGUGAUGAGAAUCUUUCCUUAUUUGGUAAAUCUAGACAUUACCACAAAUGAAAGAAUCAAUUUCAUAUUUCCACUCUUGCUAUUAAUGGAAUCAUAUAAGCAACAAUUUUUCCUCAAAUGCCAUUGUAAGGAUAUUUUAAAAUAAAUAAAAUCAAAAAUUUUCUUUUAUUUUAAAACUUUGCGGAAAAACUUAUCCUUACAAUCCAUAUGAAAACUUGUUGUUAUCUAUUCCUAAGCAAUAUCUCAUAACUCCUAAGAAGUUGCUCAAGAAUCCGAUCUUCAAACUAUGCGAUAGAAAUCCAUCUACGCCAUCAGAUUCAGCAUAUUCUUUCUUUAAGUUUCUUCACUUUUCUUUGAUUCUUAAAACAUCACCAUGUGACCCAGUCACAUCAUGUAUCAGGAAUCUCAGAAUAGAAACUUAACAGAGUUAGAUAGUGGACUUUACCUGAAGUAGAGUCAAACUUAUUGACUUUAACAUCCUUAGGUAAAUUUGGCAGCUUCGCAACCAAUGCCCCUUCCUUUGGCAAUAUAAACAUAUGGACCCUUUGAUAAUGGUACACGAGACUAUCACAGACUUAGCUUUUCUCUUUACCAUUUGGUCAACCGAGUUGACUAUGGCCGAUCCCUUUCCAUUGGGAAGAGAAUGCUUUACUGGAUAUCCAAUGUCAUCAUUGUCAAUGUCCAUAAAGUUUUAGGAAGUUGAUCUUAGCAAAUAGAUAAGAUCAUUAAGGGUCUUGUCAUAGUCUGUUUCAUAGGUGUCCCAAAGGAACUCACUAUGUGACUUAGAAAGUGAUUGAACCACCAACUUUCUCAAGACUUUGACACCCAACUCUCCCGGCUUGUCAAUAUGUGACUACAUCUCCAAGAUGUGAUCACACCUAGACCUUGCCUUGCCAAUAGGGCUUGAGUGACCUUAAACUUUUCAAGAACUUGUGGGUUAGGGAGAAUAAUUGGAGGAGGAGAAAGAAGUAUGAUAUCCAUGGGACAUCAUCUUCAUUAGGAAACCUUGUUUCAAGAGAUUUGGGAAGAUCAUAGGUGUCUAAACCAGACAUCUUUUGGGAGAUAUUCAAGAUAGUUGAUUUAAAGUCCUUAAUAUGACACCCAAUAUGAAAUAUUAAGGCUAGGACCCAACAAACUAUUUUAUAACUUAGAAGAGGUAUGCCGUAAUCCAAGCUAUAAAAUAUUUGAAGGUAGGUGAAUGACGAUUCACCAAUUUCCACCAAGAUAAACGAAAUGUAUUAUUAGGUUUUAAUUGGUUUUGAAACUCCUAGAUCUUUGAGAUUCAUUGAACUGUUCAAAGGCAUGUUUCAAUCUCGAGUGUGCCCUUCAGGUUUUGUGACUGGGAUGCCGAGGAUCACAAAACAAGGUGUGAAGUAACCAUGCAAAUCACUUGGUACCCUUAAUAAAUUACCCCUCAAUCGAUGUGCCGGUUAACCACACACGCUCCAUCGAUACUAUGAUAAAUAUUAAGUCACCCUUUACCUACCUUGUUAAGUCCAAGUUAGUGUGCCGGUUAACCACACACGCUCCACUAACGACUUAGACAAAGUGUAAAGUGUAAUUUCAUGGAUUAGCACCUUAUUCACAUUUUUCCUAAGUAACUAAGAUUGGGUAUUAUUAAGAGUUUAGUUACUUAGUAUUAUCAUUAAUACUUUUAAUGAAGGGAGAAUUCUAGUCCUGUCAAACCCGUUCGGCUAACGACCCUCCACCAGUCAAGCAAGCGGUGGGUGAGAGUGGACACCCAUUAAGUUGCCAUUUUAUAGGCAACAACCUUAUACCCACCUUAUAGACCGGCUUCGUGAAUGAGGCGUACUAGCGGUAAGACUGACUUUACUCUUAUACAUAUAUAUAUUAUUAACUUAUAAUAUUAUAAAGUAUAAGGGUUGAAUUUUAACUUUUAAAAUUCUAAGGGCUAACUUGGAAUUAAAGUAUUCAUAAGUGAAAACUUUACAAAUUCCAAAACUUGAGGGCAAGUUUUGAAACUAUUCAAAACUAAUUAAUUCCAUAACUUAUGUGUUUAAAGUAGUUUUAAUCCAAAAACUCUUCAAGUUCCAUAACUUGAGGACAAGUUAUGGAAGACUUUAAACUAAUAAAAGAAUUAACUUUUCUUUAUUUUAUAACUUAUGGAAUUAAUUAAGGUUACACUUUUUUUUUUUUUAUUUUAUUUUAUUAAAUGAAGAGACUCUUGGUCCUCCAUAACUUGAGGACAAGUUAUGGAGUCAUAAAACCAUUUAAUUAGAACUAGACUCUUCAUUUUUGUAACCUUUGCCAAUUUUUAUGAGUUUUAUGAUUCUUAAAUGUGACUUUUCAUAUAACUUGAGGACAAGUUACAAAAACACAUUUUAGAAUCAAUUCUUAGAUUAAUUUGGAUUAAAACCAACUAUCACAUAAUUUUAUUCAUUAAUCUAAAUUCACUCAUAAAACAAGGUAACACAAAAAACUUUUGGUGAUCCAUAACUUAUUCUUAAGUUAUGGAAUCCUUUAAAACAUUAACACCAAAUUUUGUAACUCCAAAAAAACUUUGAAUCAAUUUUUUUUUUAAAACCUUUUCAUAUCCAUAACUUAUGGAGGUUUCAAAAAAUAAAACUCUUUAGAUCAAACUUUUAAAACUAAUAAAAUAAUCAUAUUAUUUUAUCUUUUAUUAAAUUUGACCUAAUUCAACUCAUAAAGCAAAUUAUUCAAAUUUUACAAAUAAUUAGUUUUUCACAAGAACAAGUAAUUAUCUUAAAAUUUGACAAACUUCAUGUUUUUUUUUUUUUUUUUUUUCAACUUUGAAAAUAAAAUAUUUGCAUCAAUAUAACAGAAAACAACCCGUGGCUCUGAUACCACUGUUGGGUUUUGAGCAUUCUAACACUUCCUAAGUGUACAUGCAACCCUAAAUACCUUGGAUCUAUGUUUUCUCUAUUAUACAUGCAAAUAAGAACAUCCAAGGUAUUAUCCUAAUCUAGCAUACAAAAGUGAAGAGUGUAACAAGAUAGAAUACAUACCUCUUUGAUGUAGAAAGUCUUCAUGAAGCUUGAGUGCCUAGCCCCAAUAGUGUGGAAGCCUCAAAUGGAAUCACAAUCACCAAAACACUUAGAAUAACUUGAGAGAAUUCUACACUUCAUGAAAUCGGCUAGCCCUUUUACUUCACACCCUAGUUCCCGAUUUGGUCAUGAAUAAGAUGCUUAUAUAGUUAGGGUUACACCAUGUAAACCCUAAUUGACAUGGCCUUUAAUUUCCAUGAUCCAUGGGUACAAAUACACCAUGGAGCAUCCAUGGACCAUCCUAUGGGUUUUAGCCCAACUUGAUUAUCCAUGGAGCAUUAGCCCACUAUACAAGUAUGGAUGAUUUACACAAUCAACCCAUAUAUUUAAUUAGUCUUCUUUUGAUCACUUAAUUAAUCCUAGAUUAAUUCUUGAUCAAUACUAAUUAAAUAAUCUUAUUAUUCUUAUUAUUAAUAUACUAGAACUUAUAAUAUAUUAAUAACCAUAAGUGUCUUAUUUCUCUCAUUAUAGUCUAUCCAAGUGCAUGAUGGUAUGCAACCCAAAUGGACCAUGUCGGGUCGGGUCAAGUCUUACCAAUUAUAGUUAUGGACUUAGACAAUAAUCCAACAAUGGCUUCACCCGCAAACUUACAACACUUUAACACUAUCUGGCUGCUAGUGAAUGCUAUGGGUACACCCGCAGACUUACAACACUCUAACACUAUCUGGCUGCUAGUGAAUGCUACGGGUACACCCACAGACUUUUAACACUCUGACACUAUCUGGCUGCUAGUGAAAGCUACGGCUACACCCGCAGACUUACAACACUCCAUAUUGGAUCGACCACGCGCUUGACCUGCAUUCAGCUGAAUUCAUGCCCUGACUGGAAUCCCCAACCUGAUUCCCUAAGGCUUGAUAGCAAACAUUACGAGAACACGAUCUCCUUAUUGGGAAGUUUUUCUGAACUUCCAUCUCACACUCUCUUCAAAUCAUACAACCGCUUGGGCUUUCUUCCUUCCUGAAAAUGAUGCAAAACUUAUCCUAUCUUCAUAACUGCUCUUGCUUCAGAAUCCUGGGUGAUUCUCCCCCACUUUGAUUCAGCUAAUGCUCUACAACACUCAAAACUGAAAAAAUUCUCAAUUCUUCCUACCCUCCCAUGACCAAUCUACUAGAACUCACGCUUAUCCUUGCUAGGGUUUCGACACCAGCUAACCCAAAAGAUCAUACAACUUCUAAAAAAAUCCGAAUAAAUCUUUGGUAAUAACCCGCUAACCCAGGAAGCUCUGAAUCUCAAUUGGAGGCCUCGGAAUCUCCCACUGCAUCACGACCUCUAUCUUGGCCAGAACGACUAGAAUACCCUUCUGAUUGACAAGGUGCACAAGAAAUUGCACCUUGCGCAACCAGAGCUCACAUUUGGAGUACCUUGCAAAAGGACACUCCCUCCUCAAAGUCUCUAGCUCCUCCCUCAGGUGCUUCUCAUGAUGCUCCUCAGUCUUGGAAUAAACCAAGAUGACAUUGUACUCUCCCAAUCUUGCAAUUUUGGAAAUGCUCUAUCACUACUCGCUAAUGUUUCUCAGUAUGCAAUUGGCAUAUGACAUCUCUUGAAAAAAUAAUUUAUGCCCAAACUGAGGAUAACUCAGGGCUACACUUACUCAAACCCUUGAAACGAAAGACUCCAUUGUGUAGUUUCCCGCAUGUGCUGUACUGAAUCUAACCCUGCUGGUCCUUCAUAAGCUUAUCCAAAAUCUAGGGUCUUCUCCUGAGACACCUGUAUAUAAGCAAAUGAUCUAAUUCCCUCUAACCAAUGUGCUCCAAGUCCAUAUCUCGUUCUCAAGAUUUAGAAGUCAUAUCAUUCAGGGUCUUGCACCCCGAGAUACUCACGAUCUCCCUGCUAUCAUUCUAUAGUAUGUUCUGAUAAAUUACCUUCUUCAUUUCUUCAUCUGCUGCAUACUGUGGUACCAUAUAACUCUGAAAUCCCGAAACAUCAGCGUACGAGUUCCUAUCAUGACUGUAACCUCAGUGCAGAAUGCACUCGGCCUCUCAUCACAAAUCUCUAUAAUGCCCUCCUUGAUCAUACUAAGGAUCACAAGAGUCUGGUCAAUGAUAUUGCACAUAAUCUCAGAUGGAAUGAACUCCCUCAUUUGAUCAUCGAGCUACCCGACUACAGAGUCUGAGCCUAAUCCCUCGUCAACACCAGAACUACCAUCUGGUCUACCAUGUAGCGUCACUAUACUCGAUAAUAUACCAUUACUAACAUCACAAUACUCAUCAGAACUCGAGGGAUCUCACACACUACAAGUUCCCUAGUCUUAUCUUAGCCUUCCUUGAUUCGAGUACAGAUCCUCUACUUUUAGUAGUACGGGCCCAUACUACCUUCCACAUCUUUUUGUACUUUCCUCAAGUACUGCCUCGACUCCACCAAGUCCCUUCUACUACUAUUGUUGAUCUCUUGCUAAUCUCAUCCUAGGCUUUCCCUAGGGUAAUCACCAACCCACUCUUCGACGUCAGCUGGAUAAGAAGUCCCUGCCUUAUUCCCCUAACUAGCUUGCGAAUACUAUUACAUAUUACUCAGACUAGAUAAUUCUUCGAAUGAGAGAUCCUACCCUACAACGGUUGGACUCAAACAAGAGCUACAAAAUAGAGCUAGACCUAACCUUCUAAAAUUAUUUAGUCUUUGCAAUAUGUAACUUAAAUAUAUUCGUUUACUAGUUAGUGAAAGACAACUAGAACUCCUAAAAGCACAAAGCAAGCAACAUUCGGGUGUUGAGUACACAUAAUCAAGCAUAUACUACUCUGGCUACAUACUCACUAAUAUGUACUAGCAUGCAAUUCUCAAUAAGCUGGUACACAUAUAACAGGCACAUAAGGCAUCCUUCCUAGAUCCUUAGCCCUAAACUGACAUGCAGUUCUCCUAAAGUUGAUACUCAUAUUAUAAUAUGAUCUUGUAUGGGUAAUUUGGUAGUACUUACUUAAGCUCAGCUGAUUGCAUGCAACACACCUUUUUCCUUUUUCAAAGUUCUUUUCUUUCUAAAAUUUUUUUUCGUUUUUCUAAAACUCUUUUCUUUUGAAAACUUUAUACCACAUCCUUAGUUUGAGUUCAGACACACCCAAAAGUCUGGCCGAAUCCCUCAAACCAAGGCUCUGAUACCAACUUGUAAAAUCCCAAAAACACAGUCUGAAAAUUUCGUUUAAUUUAAUAAUAAAAACCGUAGUCAAUAAACCUCUUUAAAAAAUCAUAAGAAAUGUAUCUCAAAAUAUUAUAAAAACUGUCAAGUAUAUUAGAGUCUAAACAUCCCAGGCUGAACAAAUGGUGUGUGGACUGUAAUUUCCCCGAGCUCCUCUUUUGAAAACUGAGUACCUAAAACCAAAACUAAAAUUGUAAGCACGAAGCUUAGUGAGCUCCCCCAAACUGCCACAUACCAUAAAAUAACAUAUAAACACAUAUUGGGCCUUGCCCACUGCAUCGUACCGAAGUCAGGAAACUGCAUCAGAACGAAGUCCAGAACUGACUGGGACCCCAUCCCCUGCAUUGGACCGAAGUCCGGAACUAACUGCAUCAGACCGAAGUCUGGAACUGACUGGGACUCUGUCCCCUGCAUCGGACUGAAGUGCGAAACUAACUGCAUCCAAGUGAAGGCCGGAACUACAUCAGACCAAAGUUCGAAACUGACUGGGACCCUGUCCCCUACAUCGGACCGAAAUUCGGUAAGUGACUGAACAUAGCUUAACAUAAACAUAUCAACUGGCAUGACUACAUAUACUGCACACUGCAUCGGACCAGAGUCUGGAACACAUAACACAAAACAUGCUUGAAUCACAAAGACAUCAAGCACUCUAACUACUGCAUCAGACCGAAGUCCGAAACAAGUAACAUAUAACAUGGAAGCUAAAUCACUGCAUCGGGCCCCGCUCGGUAUCGGACCGAAGUCCGGUACUACUAACACCUAAACGGGCCGGCAUUGUGGCCUUAGACCCAUUCUACUAGAAGAGGACUCACCUCACACUACUGAAGUCCUACUGACAAACCAUAACUGCUGGAUGACAGAUUCCCGAUCUGUCAAUAUCAAAAUAACACCCAAUUAAUAAUUCGGUUCCACUACAUAACUAUAAAUACAUACUUUGGAUAAUUACUACAUUACCCCUAUCUUGGCUUACCCAAGCCCAAAGCCCAAUCCAUAGGCCUAAAGUCAACUAGGGAUCAGAGACCAACACAUGGCCCAACUUUCCAAAUUGGGCCCAAAUCUCCACAUGGACUUCCCUUAAGUCCCAAUUGUUUAGUCCAAUCCAACAUGUCUCAUUCUAAGGCCCAAUAUCAUACAAUCAUCUAGGCCCAAACUAUGGCCCAAUUUUCCAAAUUGGGCCCAACCCUUCAUAUGGGCCUUACCCUAAAGCCCAACUAAUUACUCUAGUCCAUUUGAUUAUUCUUGGAUGUCCCAACACAAAGCCCAAGUGAAUAUUAAGGUUUUCUCACUUAGCCCAUUAAGGUCUUAAUCCAUUAAGUCCUUUACUCUACUAGAUAGUUAAUAUGGAGAAAUUGCGCUUAAUACAUAAUUCAAUCUCAAUGGCACAAAAGUAGGUCCAAUAAGUCCAAGGCCUAAAUACUCACAGUUAGGGUUUUGAUCUAAACAUGGCCCAAUAGGCCCAAAAUUAAUCUUUAAACCCAUUAGGGUAUUGGCUAGGUCCAUUAGGGUUUUGCUUGUGGGGAACCACCCACUACCACCUCGGGUAGUGGUGCUCAAUCGGCGGUACACGGCGGCGGCUACCACCUUAUGGUGGUAGUUACUAUUAUUAUUUUCAUUAUUUCAUGCUAAUUACAAUUACAAGCCUUUCAUCCAAAAUACACACUAACUAAUACACACACAUAGCCACACCAUGGUGGCCAGCAAAAUAGGGCAGAGACGGCAACCCAGCGGCAUUAAUAGCAAUAGCCACCAUGGCCAGCCGCCAUGGUGGUUCUUCCCAGUUGUCGGCGAACAACCCAGCACACAAUAGAUCUGGAAACGACCUCCCGCCAGGUAGCGCACGACGACCGGCAACAGCACAACCUUGGUAGUCGGCGACAGAUACUACAUCAGUGGGAGAAGGUGGCAGUUGGACAGAUGGCAGCGGCUGGAGAAGGCAUCGGAACCGCAACAGUGAAACACCGGGACAACAUCCAUUGCACAUCGUCGCUGGCAACAGAACGGUAGCAACAUCGGCGCCAACUGCCGGAGAUAGCGGCGGCAGGCGCUAUCGACUUAUUACACUUCAUCACCGCCGGCACAAGUACUCCAUGUUGGUUCUCAUUGCUGCCUGUGACAAGGGCUGAUCGAUGGUGCAAGGUGGUCGGAAGAGGAAUGGGUGGAUGGUGGCGAUGGCGCCGGAGGCAAGGAAGAGGUGGGGUGACGAUUGCCUCUCUUCUUAGGGUUAAGGAUUGGCACCCGGUGAUGUUGGGUUAUAUACUUGACUCACGAAACUUUGCCCCAUAAUGACAAAUUAAGCCCUUCCUUUCCCUCAUUUCUAUCAAAGUAAUCCAUAUUUUACACUUUUAACCCUACCUUUAGAAAUCUAUACAACUGAAUCCAAAACUUACCUUUUAAGCCUUGAUCCCAUAAAUUUCUUUCAUAAUAGACCCCUAAAUUACCAGUAAACCCUUCAAUCUUCAAAUCUUUUCUAUUUAGGUCCAUAAAUUACCAAACGCACCCUAACCUCCAAAAUCCUUUUCAAUUUAGUCCCGAACUUACACUUUUAACCCUUGACUUUCAAAAUUCUUCACAAAUUAGUCCGGGACAUAGAUUUAUCAAUUUAUUUAAAUAAACGAGCGUUAUAGCAACCCUCUCAGAAAGGCCUUUGAACAACAGAGUGAAGAGGCCAUUCCAUUAAGGAGGAAGUCAAGACUUCUUGACUUUAGUCACUGUCGUGAGGAGUUCUGUAUACCCCAUAUUGUAGAACAUUGAAAAGAGCUGAGCAGUGGUGAUGGAGUCAGGGAUGACCAUGGAGGCUUCGUAAGAAAGCUUUAGAAGUGAGCAAAAAUAAUACUCGGAAAUCGACGUCUUUUGAUCUAGAAUGUCAAAGAAAACCCUCUCUUUUGUCUUGUCGUAUGUUGCAGUAGAGUACACCCGAGAGAGAAAAGACAUUGGAUCUGAUUCAACCUGCGUCAAUGAUAUAAAAAGUGGAGAGUACUUGAGACAUUCCACCAUAUUAAGCAUAUAUAGAUCAUAUACAAAUGAUGUGAUAUCGAUCAGAAGGUUCUGAUUCGCCUUGAUAGAGAUAAGAGUCGAUCGAGCAGAAGUCUCGUGCACUGAAGAAGAUUCUGCCAUUGUUGAAGCUCAAUGAAGAAAGAUGAUGAACAGUGGAGGAAAAAUUGUCAGUAUUUGUCUUUGAGAAGUAUGAGAGCGGUAAAAGGGUAAAGGUAAUUUGAGAAAACCCUUUAUACUGUUAACUAGAAGACAAAAACAAAUCGCAAUAAUAUCACAGGAGAAAACAUCUCAAUCGACGCCUAGGAAAUUGUGAUUGGACAACUGUUACAGCGAAAAAGGCGAUGACAGGCGUGACAUCAGCUAUCGUUUCAAAUUCACGUGCCUUUCUAUGUUUAUCUCAAAAUUGGUUUCCGAUUCUAGACCCUUGAAAUUCAUGCUGACUCAUCCUUUUGCUUUUAAAAGAGUCCAUUCUAUCAUAAUGAACCGUAGCUACAUUUCUGAAAAUAGAACCGCACUUUGGAAAAUCAAAGAUCUCUGUGCAAGAUAGUGUCAAAUAUAAAGAAAUAAAGGAAAUAAUUUGUGAGAUAUAUGUGAUGUCUAGGAAGACAUAAAAAGUGGAUCCUGGGCACGAAUCUCUACCUUCAAAGUUAAGAGAGACUUCAAAGUGCUUAUUUGGUUUCCCGUUGAAUUACGAUCAAAUGCCUGUAAAGGGAUAUUGAAAGGCAUAUUUUCAUAUAAAGCUAUUAGGGUGGCUUUCGCUUCAAUCCAUACAUGGGUACUUGACAUAAGACCGAAAAUGGAAGAAGUACUUGUGAGACCGGUGUAGCCUGUUAAAAAAGUAGGUUUGGGUCUUUUUCAGUGACUUGGUGAUAUAAAUAGGAAAUCUCAAAAACAAAACUAGAACUAGAUCUUAUGUCAAGAAACAUCUUGGUGUUAGACAAUUUCAUAAAGAUCACACAAAAAUAAAAGGAGAUUUCUUGAGAUAACAAGUAAUAGCUUGAACGUGUAUGUGAUCACCGUUAAUUCAUUUAAGGUGUUGGAUUUUAGGUUUCACUUAGCACUUGGUGAACAUAUCUAAGAUCAUCAACACAGAUGUUGUGUAACCAUAAACCUCAGUGGAAAUUGCUGAGAGUCUCAAGGGUUACAAUUGUGGAGCGAAACGAGAUGGACAAAUAAGAUAAGGUGGUUAAGGAGUCGUAAGUGCCUAUGCUAUUUGAGAAUGACAAAAUAGAAAACUGUUAACUCAAAAUGACAAGAGUAAGGUAGCUCAUGACUUGAGUGAAAUUAGCAGCCUAAUUGGGAAGAAAUGAUUGGUUUCGAUCGAAUCAUUAAGGCUUCACUCACAGUCUUGGAGGCUUCGGUCUACAUACAACAACAUGCUUCUAGGGACACUUAACUAGUACAAAGAUAGAAAUAUCAUACCUGCCCUGGAUCCAAUUGGUAUAGCUUAUGUGUUCUUCAAACCUUAGGUAGAAAAGAAACAAGAACAAAACAAAACACAAAAAGAAAAUAUUUUUGAUGUUUUGAAAAAUAAUAAAAAUAGAAAAUAUUUUUGAAUUUUAUUAAAAGUAAGAGAAAAACAUAAAAUAAAUUAAGAUACAAUAAAGUGUACAAAAGAUACAACUGAAAUGUCACCAUUGUAUAUGAGGCGAAAUGGACCGAGCAUUCAGUUCAUUUUGGUUCCCGAAAAAUCAGGACCCGAAAUAGACCGAGCGUUCGCUCUAUUUCACUUCCAACUUUUAAUGACGUGAAAGCGAUUUCAGUAUGGAUUCAGCUUCCAUCAUUCCUAAGCCUUGUAAGAUUAUAUUAAAACUUGCUUCAUGCAAGGCUUUUGUAAAGAUCUCAGCUAAUUGAUCAGUGGUUCUUACAAAAUGUAUUUCGACAUUACCGUGUUCCGCGUGAUCCUUAAUAAAAUGAUACCUCCGUGGUAUAUGUUUCAUUUUGGAGUGUUGCAUUGGGUUGUGACAUAUCCUUAUUACACUUUCUAAGUCACAAUAUAAUGGAAUUUUCUUCAUGUUCAGGCCAUAGUCUCGAAGUUGGCUUUGUAUCCAAAUGACCUGUGAUGUACAUGAUGUUGUAGCUAUAUACUCUGCUUCAGCUGUAGAAAGAGACACAUAGGUUUGUUUCUUCAAUUACCAGCUGACAAGUUUGCCAUCAAGGAACUGGCAUUCUCCAGUAGGGCUCUUUCGGUCCAAUCCACAUCCUCCUAGAUCAGCAUUAGAGAAUGCCUUGACAAAGAAUUUUGAGUUUGAUGGGUACCAUAGACUGAGAGAAGAGGUUCGCUUCAAAUAUCGAAAGAUAUUCUUCACACCCAAUAGGUGAGGUUCACAUUGAUUAGCUUGAAACCUGGCACAAUAACAAACAGAAAACAUUAUGUAUGGUCAACUUGUUGUUAGAUACAUCAAGGACCCUAUCAUUUGAUGAUAGAGGGUCAUGUCAGCAACCGGUUUUUCUAGAGAAGGUGUUAACUUUGUGCCAAACGCCAUAGGAACCUUCACUUUUGAGUAUCCCAUCAUUCCAAACUUGAAUCUCCCUUCUUUGUCCAUUUUGUUUCGAAAUACCCAUUUCAGUCCAACUACAGAUGCAUCCUUUGGUGUAGAAAUUAGUCUCCAUACCUUGUUUCGCUCAAACUCAUUGAGUUUGUCUUGCAUUGCUUGUAUCCAAUCAUAGUAAUCGAGUGUAGUGUUGACAGUCUUCAGUUCAAUUUUGGAGACAAACGAAUUAAACAUGCCAAAUUCCACUUGAGAGAAUAAUGUAGUUUGCUUCGCUUUCAGUUGAGAAUGAGUAAGAACUCUUUCUGAUGAAUCACCAAUGAUUUGUGUUUUUGGAUGAUCUUUUGUCCAUUUGGUGAGAGGAGGGUAAUUUGAAUCAUAGGAGGGAUACAACUCAACAUUUACUUCUUCUUCCAAUUCCGACUGAGUAUCAUCAUCAUUUGUAUUUGCAUUCUCCCCCUUAAAUGAUGAGACAGUUUCGGCUGCAGGCAUGGAAUUCUCCCCCUCAAUUGGACGUUCGGUUGAUAUGGUAGUUGAUGGUUUCUCCCCCUGGAAUGGUAAUUUAGGGUUAUCGGAUGAAGAUGAACCCUCCCCCUGAAAUGUAGAACUUUUUUUUGGAGGUUCGCUUUGACUGGCCUAUUUGGUAGUUCUCGGUUGUUCUUUUUCCAUAUCAUUCGCUCCGUCAUCAAUGAUUUGCUUCACAGUAUCAAUCUCUUUGUCAGCUACCUUUGCUUUAGAGUGAAUAGCUUUCUCUGGUUCAUCAAAUAAUGACAUGUAUUGCUCAAAUAGAUUUUAAAUGGAAAUAGUGACUUCACCAAAUGUUGGAAAGAUUUCCUCCAUUGAACGUUCGGUUGUUUGAAGCUUUUUGGCGUAGUUGUCAUCAAAGGUGACAUAAUAGGUUUAUUCAAUUUUCUUGGAAUGUUUGUUUAGAAUCCUAUAUGCCUUCGAGUUUAAUGAGUAGCUAAGAAAAUGUUGGAUUAGUGUCUAAGUCCAUAACUAUUUUGGUAUGUACUUGACCCGAUUAUGAGCAUGGUCCUUUUGGGUUGCCUUCAUCAUAGCAAUAUGUAGGAUGAAUUAAGGAGAGAAAGGUUUAAUUAUCAUUUAUUAAUAUAUUAUGAGAAUAAUAUAUUAAAGGAGAAAUCAUAUUUUUUAAUUAAUAUUAGUCAAGAAUUAAUUGAUAAAUAAUUUUGUGGCUAAUAGAGAUUAAUUAAACUUAGGGGACUGCAGUUGUAAUUAUAAGAUAAUUAUAAUUGGGCUAUGGAUCACUUAAUAAAAUAUAGGUUGGACGAAUUCUAUGGAAAGCCCAUUAGAAAUCGUCCAAGGGAUAUGUUGAAGGAGUCCAUGGGCUGCUUAGGGCUUAAGCAGUCAGAUUAGGGUUUCCUAGUUGUAAACCCUAAUAGCCUACAUGUAUAUAAAGGACCCUUAAGCCCCAAAAACGUGGAGAACACUUCCUUUAGGGUUUCUAGACGUUUUGGGCAGCCUCCUCUCUUCUCCUCUUCAUCCAGGUUGCUUAGUGGUGUUUGUGACUCCAUUAGAGGUGCAGCACUUGAGGCACUAAGCUUUCUAAGGCCAAUCCAAGCAAGGAAUUGAUUGUUAUUGUUAUAUAACAAUCAAAGGUAAUUCUCUAAACCCUAAUUCAGUUUAUUAUAUGUUAGAUUAGGGUUUAUUAGUCUUGGAUUCAUUGCAUGUACAAAAGAGAAACCUAGAUCCAAGCAUUAGGGUUUGUAUGAGCACAUAGGAUUGUUCUUAUGCCUAAAACCCAUCAGUGGUAUCAGAGCCUUGAUUGGUUUCUGUUGUAUGUGUUGCAAUUGUCGAAUUCUUGCUGAAAAAAUGAUUUUUUGGCCUCUGCCCGACCUGAUUCGGCGAGUCAGUGGAUGAACUCGGCGAGUCAGUCUGACUCGGUGAGUCCAGUCCCAGACUCGGCGAGUCCAGGGGUCAGAUAGAGGGAAUAUCGGGAUUUCUUGUUGUUUUGCUGAAGGAUUAAUACCAAAAACGUAUUUUGAUGAUAAAAUCCGAUUUUUAUUAUAUUUGGAUGAUUAUCCUUCAUAAAACAAAAGAUAAUUUCAAAUCUUUUGAAUAAUAGUUUCCUUAUUAGUAAAUAUGGAUUAUUUAAAUUAUUUGGUAAUUAUCUUAUGAAUAAAAUGAGAUUAGGUCAAAUAUAGAUAAUCACCAAAUUAAUUGUUUAUUAUGUUAUUUGUUAUAUGAUCCCUUAUGUUUUGAAAAGUUUCAAAACUUGCCCUCCAGUUUUGGAAUUUAUAUUUUGAUUAAAAAGUUUAAUUUUGAAAUAUUUAAAUUCUGAACCCUAAUGUUUUGAAAUGUUUCAAAACUUGCCCUCAAGUUUUGGAAUUUAAAAGUUGAUUAAAAGUUUAAUUUUGAAAUGUUAAAUUCUAAAACCCUAGUAAUUUGAAAAGUUCAAAUCACACCCUUAUGGUUUUAUUAAUUAAUUAAAGUGUAUAAUUAAAAGUGAUUUAAUAAACCCAUAAAGUUUUGGUUUACAUUUAAUUAAAUUAAAAGUAUAAUUUACUAAAUUAAACCACCUAGUAUUUUAAAAGUGUAAAAUACACCCUAUACUAUAUAUAACAUUAAAAGUCUAAUAUUAUAUAUAUGUAUGAGUAAACAGUCAGUCUUACCAUUAGUAGGCCUCAUUCACGAAGCUGGUCUAUAAGGGGUGUUUAAGGAAAUUGCCUAUAAAAUGGCGAUUGAAUAGGUAUCCACUCUUACCCACCGCACUCUUGACUAGUGAAGGGUCGUUAGUCGGACGGGUAGGAUAGCACAGAAACGUUCCAUUAUAAGUAUAAUGAAGUACAAAGUAACUAAAUGCUUAUACGAAUUCCCAAAUCAUAGUUACUUUAGGCAAAAUGUGAAAUUGUAUGCUAACCCAUGGAAUUACACUUCGUACCCUUGUCAAACGUUAGUGGAGCGUGUGUGGUUAACCGGAACACUAAUUUGGGGACGAAAUUGGUGGUGAAGGGUGGCUCGAUGUUUAUCAUAGAUCAAUGGAGCGUGUGUGGCUAACCGGCACAUUGAUUAGGUGAUAGUAGCAUCGGGUGCACCAUGUGAUUCGUAUGGUUAUUCACACCUUGUUUGUGAUCCUCAGCAUCUCAGUCACAAAUAGUAGGGCAUAAUCAAGAUUAAACAUGCCAUUGGAAAGUUCAAUGAAUCUCAAAAGACCUAGGAGCUUCAAUUCAUUUAAAACUUAAACUUCUUUUUCGUUUUUCAUGGUGGAAAUUGGUAAAUCGUCAUUUACCUACCUUCAAAUAUUCUACAACUAGAUUACGACAUCCCUCUUCUAGGUUGUAGAAUAUUGUGUUGGAUCCUAGCUUGAUGUUUCAUUUGGGUGUUACAUCAAGAAUUCUAAUCAACUUAACUUGAAUUUUCUCCCGUUUUGUAGAUGUCUGAAUCUUACAAUGGUCUUCCCAAAUCCUUUGGAACAAGCUUUCCAAAUGAGGAUGACGUUCUGAGAUACGAUCAAGGAAAUGAGAGUCAUGCUUUACUUCCUCCACCUCCUCCAAUUGUUCUCCCUGACCCACAAGUUCGAAGGCUUGAAAAGUUCAAGCUCACUCAAACCCUUUGGGCAAGUAAACACAAAGAUGGAAAAUCCGUGUGUGCACACAUCUUAGAGAUGAAGUCACACAUUGAUAAGUUAAGCAUGUUGGGUGUCAAGAUUUCAAGUGAGUUGGCAGUUGAACGGGUUCUUCAGUCACUUCCUAAAUCAUAUAGUGAGUUCGUUAGAGAGUACUAUAUGAUGGAUCACGACGUGACCCUCAUUGAUCUCACCUAUUUGCUUAUAGCUGCUGAAUCAACAAUGAUUUGGCGUGUUGGUCAAGCAAAUUUGUCUAGUGAAUCAAACUCCCAAACUUCAAUGGACACUGGCAACAUUGGAAGUCCAGAAAGAACUAAGUUUGUGAUUGUCCGGUGUGGUGUUCCAAAGGAGUCCGUUUGCUUUUAUUGCCAAGAGAAGGGGCAUUGGAGACGUAGCUUCCCUAACUACCUGAGGGAUCUAAUAGAUGGGAGAGUCAAGAUGUAUGGCUCUACUUCAGGUAAAAUCCAUUAGCUAACUCUUUUAAGUUCCUAUUCUAGAUUCUUAAUACAUUAUGUGAUAAGAUUACAUUUUGAUGUUUGGUUGGAUCGAAGAAAAGAGAGGAUGCUUAAGGGAAGAAGUGAGCUGAAUCUAAUUGUAAAGAAAUGGAUUUCGAUCGCAUUGCUUGAAGAUUAGACUCUUGAGCUACUACUUGGAGUUAGAAUAAAUUGUUAAGAAAGAUGUAAUAUCAUAGUUUUUCAAUUGAAUUGCUUUGUAAGGACAAAAUUUUCCACAAUAAAAAUGAAUUUUGAUUUUGUCUUAUUUAUUUAUCCUUCCAAUGGCAUGUAUGAAAAAAAUUGAUGUUUUUGAAGGUUUUUAUUAUUAGCAAUAAUGGAUUUGAUUCUUAAUUGUAUUAUUUGUGGGAAUGUCGAGAAUUUACCAAAUAGGGAGAGUUUCUCAUCGCCCAAGUUUCAAGUGGACAGAAACUUGGAAUCAUGCAACGUGUAUUGUAUGAUGAAUGAAAAACUUUCACAUUUGGGAAAUUUAGACUAAUUCUUUGACAAAGUGUCAAUUGAAGGACUAGGAGAUCGAGUACACUAGGUCGUAUGUUGAUCAAGUCUACCACAAGAAUGAAGAAGAUAUCCGUCAUGAUUUACUAAAGUUUAGUAAAUAUGGUUAUAUUUAUAAGAUUAAGUGUAAUUCUGAGUUAAUUGAAAAGGUUUCAAUAAAUAGCAGAACGAUUAAAGAAGAAUCAAGUAGGCAUAAAGAUAAAGGUUUCUCUGUUCUAAGAAAAAGGGAGAGUACUUUUAUUGUGUUAGGUCUUAAUGGUUAAGAACCAUAUCUCAAUUGAUUCUAUAAGUGAGUCUUAGUACAUUUAUAUGUCUAAGAAGACGAAUCAAGAAUUGUGGAAUUGGUUAAAUCAAGAAGUUAAUCAUAUUCGUUCCAAUAUCGAAUCUUAGAGUCAUACUCCAAGAUUUCGAAUGGAGUGAAAAGUCUUUAGUAGGUUUAUAACAUUUAACGAAUGUGGGAAUUUGGAAAAGUGUUCUUAUUCUUGCACAUUAGAAAUUGGUAAGUUGUGCUGUCUUGGAAAAGGCAAAGACCAACUAGGACCAAUUUGUGAAGUGUUUUGAUAAAAGCUACACUAACUCUUGAAUAUUUGUUUGUCAAGAAAUGUUUCUUGAUACGAGAACCUUAUAUGUCAAGGAGUCAGUGGGAGUUUUAAUGUUUUUGAAAAAGGUUUCGAAAACAAAUCAAGAAUAAACCUUAUCGAUCAUCACUGGCACACGACUUCAGGUUUACAACCUAUCGUGUUGACAUUAUUUUGUUUCGGUGCCAUUCCAAUUGAGUUAAUUAUUCAUGUGAGUUCUAUGAGUUCUCAUUUGAAUGCAUAAAGACAAAUCACAUUGAUCAAUGGAAAGUACAUUGAUAUGUAAGGAUAAGUUGCUAAACUACUUGGAAGACAUGGUGGGCACUCAUGUUACCAUAAGGCAAGAAAUCAAGAUUAAGAAAGUUCAGUCCAUAUGAGUUUGGAUUUGUCACAGACUUUGGUUUUGGCAAAUUCACAUGGAUAGGAACUCAUACACCAUAAAAUCUAAGUGUCAUAAGAUUCCCUCCUUCAUGAAAAUUAUUGUGAGGAAAUGCUUUCACUAAGAGAGAUUUUAAGAAGAUGGCGAUUGUGAAAAUUGUAUUCUCAAAUUUGAUUAUGGUUACGGCAUCCCUUUCCAUAGUUCGAGUUGUGAGAUUUGGCAAUUAGUUUGAACAUUUGGAACUUAGUAACAUAAGUUCUGAAUUGAUUAAACACACGUAUGAGCUAUCUAAGGCAAAGGUGUAUAAGUUUAAAAAGCUUAGAUAAAGGCUUAUCAAAGCAUCUGGUAUUAGAAAUACGAAUUUCAGAAAUUCAAUAGGCAUUGUUUUCUGGAAGUUCAUUUGUUUUCUGAAUACAUGUCAAAGCUAGUGGGAGCAUAAGUGUUAUGCUUAUAUGAUAGUAAUCAUCAUGAUAGUGGGAGCAUAAGUGUUAUGCUUGUAUGAUUAUUAUGGAAAGUAUUGCGAGUUAGCAAUAUUAAUUAUAGAAAAACAAAGAUUCAAUUUACAAAGUUGCAUGGGUUGAAAAUUUGUUUUGCUAUUAUCAAGGGAGAGAAUAUUAUACUUCGUUUCAAAAUCUAAAGCUUAAACUGAAAAAAAUUUAAUAUUUUUAGUCAAAGGAUACAUUGCGUGUUCUCAAAUUUCGAUUAUGAUUACGACAUCCCUCUUUAUAGUUCGAAUUGUGAGAACAUGACACAUAAAAUAUUAUGGCAUAAGAUUGGUAAAGUAUCAUAUCUUUAUGUAAGACAUUAUGCAUCGUGUCCCAUAAGCUUCGAGUAUAGGAUCGAUUGAAAAUGCUAUAAUAUUUUACCAUUCUAAAAUUUUCCAAAUGUCUAGCGCAUUAAGAGGGAAAAAGGACUAGAAUUGGUUUUGACUAAAAUAAUUAAACAACUAUCAAAGGACGAUCCAAAGUUCGCUGAAGAUUGGUCGCUUGUGAGUAGUUGGAAGUAUGGUAUUGGAUGGACCAUAUCGACGUUAUUAUAAAUAGAUAAGAUUCUAUUAAGAUUGAGUUGUCAUAUGGCAAAUGUGGAAAUGUUUCCAUAUUGGGAGUUGGAUAUUGAGAGUCUAUGUCUAGAUUAGAAAAUUUUAUGCGAGAAGGGUGUUUAAAGGAAUGUACUUUGAAUGUGAAACUUCGCGUCUAUGGAAUUGUGUUGUAACAAUUUCUAAGAGAGUACUUUGUAAUUUCAUUAGCCAAGUCUUGGUGACUUUUGUGCUAUGACUUUACGAAAGGAUCGUUGCAUAAAAUGUUAGAAUCUAGCAUAUUCUACUGGUAGCUAAGAACCUUGUGUUCUUACACUAAUGAUAAGGAUUGAGAAUUGAGAAAUGAGCAUCAUUGGAAAAGUUUUCAAUUGAUCUAUUUCACAAAGCAUAGACCAUAGGAAACAAAGUGUGCAUGCUUGGAGCAUGGAACAAUCGUUGUUGUAAUUCAAGUAAUGAGUUGAUUAUUCGAAACAUUAAAUGAUAAAUAAUGAGUAACCAAUAUAGUGGAUAAAUAGAAGUGUUUUAUUUACUCUCACAAGUUUGGGGCCAUAUAGGAUUAACUAUUAUUAUUAUGUUUCAGUUUGCAUGUUUUGACUUCCAGAAUAACUAGGUUAUUCAAACAUCCACAGUCGGUCAUACGUUGGGAGUAGGUAUGAAGGAAGACUGUCAUGAAUCUAUCUGUAGAUUGUUUGAAGUGUUUAGACAUGGCACAAGUUUACUACAGAGUUUAUGAGUGCUUUGAUAAGAUUAGAGUAUUGGAUUAAACCCACGCUCACUUGGAUCACUUUAUGGAUUUUAUCCCAAGUGAUUAGUGAGAUGAUAAUAUUGUAUAUUCUUGAAACUGAGACGUGUGAGUUGUUAUUUGCUGGUCGGUUACACAUUGAUAAUAAGUAAACGCACCAGUAACUUGGUGUUAUAAAACUUAUUGUUGUGUGUGAUUCGAUCAGUAAAUUCAAGCGAGCAUUUGAGUCGAAGUUUAUCCAUUCCUUUUACCCAAAGUAGGAUAAAAGCGGUAUAUGUGGGCCUCUCGAUGAUUUAGUGAUGAAACCUAAGCGCUUGGCCAAGCCGGGACUAAGUUGAUGUGUUAAGUUGUAGUCUGUAAACAGCCGUCAUAAAUCGGAAGUCGGGAAAUAGUAUAGAGAGAAUGAUUAAAAUUCAUGUCUUAUGUCUAUAUGAUAUCUUGAGAAUGGUGGAAUAUAUGAUCCCUUAUCUAAAGCACACACUAUCUGAUAAGAUCAGAGUUGACAUCGACUUUUGAAAGCUACAAUUGCUGAUCAGGUUCUGAAGUCACAUGGAAAAUAGUUAUUAGACUUAUCCAGAGAGAAGACUGUUGGAUUAGUGUCUAAGUCCAUAAUUAUUUUGGUAUGUACUUGACCCGAUUAUGAGCAUGGUCCUUUUGGGUUGCCUUCACCAUAACAAUAUGUAGGAUGAAUUAAGGAGAGAAAGGUUUAAUUAUGAUUUAUUAAUAUGUUAUGAGAAUAAUAUAUUAAAGGAGAAAUCAUAUUGUUUAAUUAAUAUUAGUCAAGAAUUAAUUGAUAAUUAAUUUUGUGGCUAAAAGAGAUUAAUUAGACUUAGGGGACUGGAGUUGUAAUUAUAAGAUAAUUAUAAUUCGAUAUGGAUCACUUAAUAAAAUAUAGGUUGGACGAAUUCAAUUGGAAGCCCAUUAGAAAUCGUCCAAGGGAUAUGUUGAAGGAGUCCAUGGGCUGCUUAGGGCUUAAGCAGUCAGAUUAGGGUUUCCUAGAUGUAAACCCUAAUAGCCUACAUGUAUAUAAAGGACCCUUAAGCCCCAAAAACGUAGAGAACACUUCCUUUAGGGUUUCUAGACGUUUUGGGCAGCCUCCUCUCUUCUCCUCUUCAUCCAAGUUGCUUAGUGGUGUUUGUGACUCCAUUAGAGGUGCAGCACUUGAGGCACUAAGCUUUCUAAGGCCAAUCCAAGCAAGGAAUUGUUUGCUAUUGUUAUAUAACAAUCAAAGGUAAUUCUCUAAACCCUAAAUCAGUUUAUUAUAUGUUAGAUUAGGGUUUAUUAGUCUUGGAUUCAUUGCAUGUAAAAUAGAGAAACCUAGAUCCAAGCAUUAGGGUUUGUAUGAGCACAUAGGAUUGUUCUUAUGCCUAAAACCCAUCAGAAAAACCCCUUUGUCAGCGUCGACAUCAAACUUGUUUCGGUGCACCUUAUAAUUAAAAAUAACGCAUCUGGAACCGAACACAUGGAAGAACUUGACAUUUGGAUUACGAUUGUUCAAGAUCUCAUAUUGAGUAAUAGAAAAACGCUUGUUGAGAAGAGAUAUGUUCUGUGUGUAGCAAGCAGAAGCAAUUGCAUCAGCCCGAAAAUAUAAAGGCAAUGAGGCAAAACUGAGCAUGGUGCAGGCUGCUUCACACUACGAGUGGUUUCACCUUUCAAUGACACCAUUUUGUUGUGGAGUGUAGGGAGCAGAAAAGUUGUGAGAUAUGCCGUUUUCAGCAAUUCAAAUUCAUUGUUUUUGAACUCCAGCCCAUUAUCACUUCGAAUAUUUCUCACCAGCUUUCGCAGUUGAAGCUCUAUUUGCUUGACAAAAACCUUGAGCUUUGGUGUAGCCUCUGAUUUCUGAUUAAGAAUGAACACCCAAGUGAAACAAGAAAAAUCAUCUACUAUUACUAGUAUAUAUUUGUAACCACCAAUGCUUUCAAUAGCCGAAGGUCCACAUAAAUCUAUAUGUACAACCUCAAGUGGUUCGAUGAUCUUCGUGUUGACACGUGUUGGAUGACUUUUCCUGCUUUGAUUUCCCAUUUCACAUGCAGCACACAUAUGUUAUUUAUCAAAUUUGAGUAUUUGAAGUCCUCACACAUGAUCACCAAGAACUAGCUUGUUCAUGACUUUGAAGUUGACGUGCGAGAGCCUUCGGUGCCAUAACCAACAUCCGUCUGAGUGUGCUUUCGUUAGCAGACACACAGCUGGCUUUCCUCGAAUGGGAUUGAGGUUCAGUGGGUACAUCUCACCUUUUCUUUUGGAUUUUAAUAGAACCGUUUUGGUCUUCUUCUCUACUAUUUCAGACACUUCAUCAUCGAAUGAAACCUUCAGUCCAUUUCCCACCACCAGUUGUGAAACACUGAUGAGAUUGUGUUGUAAGCCCUCUACGUAUGCUACUUUUCUGAUCGAGAAUUCACCAUUUGUGAUCAUUCCAUAGCCUUUGAUUGUGCUAAAUGACUUGUUGCCAUACUUGAGACAACCACUAUCCAUAAGAGCUCGAAACUCCCAAAACUCUUCCUUUCUCCCUAUCAUGUGACAUGAGCAGCAACUAUCAAUGCACCAUUUGUCGUCGAACUACUCGUCAUGUGUAACCUGCAAAAAUCAAGCAGAUUUAGGAACCCAAAGUUUCUUGGGUCCAUGUGAUUACCAAUUGAUGAGAUAAAAACUCUUUAGAUCGACUAGAUCUUUAACAGGUAAAUAAAUAAGACCAACAAACAAAAGAACAAUCAAUGAAUCAAUCCGUAUGUCGAAUGAUUAAAAUAUUCUCACCCCUCAAAAGAGCUCGAUUAAGAACUGAAGAGAUAAAAUCUCUAAGAUCGUUUAGAUCUUUUACAGGUUAAUCAAUGAAGAACAAACAAUUAUAAUAAACAAAAGAAUGUACACAAGAUGGAAUCAAGGUAAUACUGAAUGAUUCAAAUGUAGUCACGCCUCAACAGAGCUCUAUUAAGAACUUCCACUGUAGAGACGAUCUAGGGUUUACAAUACGAUGAUGAAAAAUAGUAAAAGUCAUAAUUACUAAGGAUACGUGCAUGCACCUUAAAUACUGAAAUCCAAGAAUAAAAGAAAACACGGUUGGACAGGCCCAAACCGGUUACAAAAUUGGGGUAACUAUGACCGAGCCCAAAGAUGCAACAUUCAGAACUCAACAAUCUCCCCUUUAGGUCAAUUGGGGUGAGACCUUUACUUCGGUUGAUUGACAGUUACUCACUUCACUACCUUUAACAAGCUUGGAAUUAUAGCAAGAACAACUUGUCGAAAGUCGAUAUACCAUCUUAUCAUAUAUGUGAAGUACUUCUUAUCGCUUUCACUAUUUUGCUUACAUCUGUGAAUGAUUCCCAGAACAUACUCAAAGCACGAAGUAGUAAAGAGAUGUUUAUCAGUUAGAGCGAACAUGCAUUUCUUACCUUCUUGCAUGGUGAACAUCACCGAGUUCAACUUCAGGUUAAUCUUUCCCAUUUUCAUCUUGUUGACAUCGCUUGCAGAACCAACAGGAAAAAUGGUAGGCUUCUUUCUGAGAACUGAAGCGAUCUCUUGAUCCAUCUUGGCUACCUCUAGAAUGUAGCAGACUAACAUUCUUUUCAGAUGAUCAAUGAUUGGCUCAUACUCGACUGGGUCAGAGAAGAAUGUUGUGUAGAACAAUCCAAUCAUGAGGAUUGAGAUUAGGUAUAUCAGCAAAGGAGAAGGUAUGCUCAGACUUGGCCGAACCUCUGGCAACCUUGAAUUUGAUGUUGAUGAAUUUCCAUGCUACGUGAGGCUUAAGGACCCGAAUUGUGAUAAUUUUUUGAGCACUCCAACUAAGAUAUUUAGGUUGAGCGAACUCCAUAUAGUAGUCUAUUAGCUCAUGAUCAAUCUUCGGGUCUGGAUGAGGUACUACUGCGAAAGGAAGAAAGCAGUGAAAAACAAACGCCUUCCGGGUGAUUGGCAUAUCGAACUGAGAGUCUCUUGUAUUUUCACAAUCCAAAGACACUACUGGCUCAAGCCAAUGAGUGCUAGGGGAAUCGAUGGCUUCUUUGAUUAGCUUUUCCGGAGUCCAGAGCGGAAAGAGGGUUUUCUUGCUUUCUAGGAGAUCAUGAGCCUCUUUUAAUCUUCUUUCAUUCUCUUCAGCUUCCUUUACAAUCUUGGCAUUGAGAUUGAGUUCCCUUUUCCCUUGCCUUUCGCUUCAGAGCAUCAACUAUUGUCUCCUAUUCCUCGUCACUGUCAUCCACAAUACCCUUGCCUUUAUCCUUAAAGCCCGAACCCAAAGAAUGCUCAGUCUUCUGUUGUCCCGGCUGAGUAGUAGGAGGAGGUUGAGACGAAGAUGUUAGUUCUUCUCCCCCUUGUUUCGGAGGUACCAUAGUCUCUGAAACACCUUCGAUGUGACUCAACAUCCCAAGUGCAUGACGGAAUUUUUCAGCAAGAUGACGUCUAACUGAUAUGGUCAAGAUAGGUUCGUCAGUCUCCAGAACGUUCGAUAAAUUGGCGUGUACGUCUGAGACAUAACUUUUGACGACAACCUUUUCAGAAUGAAGGUGAUCUACCUCUUUGUUUGCCUAGGAAAGUUGGAGAUUUUUGUUUUUCAGCUGAGUAGUCUUGAGAGCGAGUUCAUCCAUGAUCGAGCUUUCCAUGGCUACAUCAGCUUGGAGAUUUGUGAGACGCUCAUUGAGAGGGGACAUAAGGGCAACAUUAUCCUUUUGAAUGUUCUGGCGAAGGGAGGCAAAUUGUUACUUCUCAGUAUCAAAGGAUUCUUCAAGUUUGGCAAUGGAGUUGUUCACUUUAGAAGCGUUCAACUCAACUGCUCCUUGUAAAGACUCAAGAAAAAUAUUAGCGUUAUGAAUUUGUUUAUCAACUUUUUCAGUCGCUUCUGUGUAGACUUUGGGUAAGGCUGCAAUUGCAUCUGUGGCUUUAGAGAUUGAUGCUUCAUGAGCUUUGACAAAAGUGUCAACCAUGCUCUAAAUAGAAGCUUCAGAGUAAGGAUGGUGAGAGGAAGAAGAGGCCAUGAGAUUGUCGAUUUUCUCAUUUAGCUCCUUGAUGUGCUUUUUGGUAAUGGGAGCAUCAUCAUCUUCAUCACUCUGAACCCGGUAGGGACUGUAGUAGAAAAAAUCAAAAUCCAUUUCUUCACCACCAAGGACAGUAUUGGUUUUGCUUGAAGGUGUGAGAGAUAGUGGUUUGGAUGUUUCAGGGACUGAAGACCGAACCCCCGUAUCAGAUACGUUGGUCCGACCUUCAGUUGUUGUGGUGGUUGUAGCAUCAGAAAAAAUAGGAGGAGGAAGUGGAAUUGUAGAAGUAGGUUGUGAUUUGAUAACUGGGAAAGUGGGAGGUAAGGAAAUUGGAAUGGAAACAGGUGGAGGAGAAGGUGCGUUUGAGCGAACUGGUACCUCUAGUGUAGGCGAUCGAGGUGGGGUAUCACCACGAACCGAAACCUCCUCAUCAGAGCUUUCGCUUUCGGAUGUGCUAGGAGUGGGUUGUUUAUGUCCAAUAGGGAGAUACUCGGAGUCUGAGUCGCUCGAUGACUGAAGGAUAAGCUUCCAAGAAGGCUUCUUGGUCUUCUUCUGCUUGGGCUGGGAAGGUGCUGCCUUCUCAGACUUUCGCUUCCUUGGAGUUUGCCCCUUAGCUCCUUUGAUAAACCUUUCGUCUUUCUUCUUUUCUUGUUUCUUUCCCCUGUUUUACGGCUUAUCUGCUUCCUCAAUGGAACGAAUAAUUGCAGGUGUGAGUUCCCUUGGGCCCAAAGAUGGAAGCUUCUUGUACUCUUGUAUGACAUUACUCGCCUUAGACACACAAGCAUACAUGGAUGCUAGAAUCGAUCCAAUAAGCAAGUACUUGGACGGAUCAGUGACUAUAAUAGUUGUAGUGUGGAAUGUUGCGAUGGAGGAGAGAAGCGAUUCCGCCAUGAUUGUGACAUGAAAACAAUCCAUCCCCCGUUUUGUGACAAUAGACUAGAACCUGCCACAUGAAACUUCAGAAUGGCGAGAAGAGGAGGAUAAGCUUUGAACAAGAUGUUGCCAUAGGGCCGAACCAAAUUCAAGAUGUACCCCAUUGUACAACCCAUAAAGCAUGGUCAUAAACGACUUGCUUGCCCCAUCUGAUCCAUCGCUUCGCUCUGAGAAACCAUUGAACAGGAGAGUGAAGAGGCCAUUCCAUAGUGGAGGAAGGCAUGAUUUCGUGAACUUCUCCACGGUUGUUAGGGUUUCUGUAUACCCCAUGUUAUAAAACAUUGAGAAUAGUUGACCAGUUGAGAUGGAAUCAGGGUUUACCAUGGUAGGUUCGUGAGCAAGACCUAGCAGCAUGCAUAAUCGAUUCUUGGAAAUCGAGGUCUUCUUGUUGUGAAUAUCGAAGUGGAUACUCUCAGCGACUUUGUCAUAGUGAGCAGUUGAGUAGAUAUGAGAGAGGCAAGACAUGGGAACAACCUCUACCUGUGAGAGAGCGAUGAUAAGUGGAGAGUAUUUGAAGCAUUCCAUAACUUGCAGCAUGUAGGGUUCAUAGGUGAAUGGUGUAAGGUCAAUUAUGAGGUUUUGGUGAGGCUUGAUGGACAGAAGGGUGGAACGAAUAGAGGUGUCUUGAACAGAAGACGAUUCUGCCAUGGAUGUAGCUUGAGAAGAAGAUGAUGAACAGUGAAAGAAAUUGUCGUUUUCCUUUAGGAGAUUAGAAAGCGGUAAAAGAGUAAAGGUGAUUUAGAGAAACCUUUUGUACUUGGGAUUAGGAGAGAGAAAAAUCCACCCAAAAUCUUGUCUUUUGUGAAACGGUUCCUGAUACAGUGGGGAUUAGACAAUUGGCAACCCAUAUGCUUACACAGGAGAGAGAAAACAUUUCAUUUUACGCGUCGUUCCAUACAAAUCGCCUUUUUCAAAAUCGUCAAACGUUUGGAUAUUUGCUGACUCACCCCUUUACUUUAUUUGAAACGUCACCAACAUAAAUAUCAUGAAUCUAUGUCAACUUGAUCAUUUCGUUUGAGAAUCACCAUGUCACUUUUAGAACCCAAGCUACAUAUUGAAAAAUAGCUUAUACAAAAUAGAACCGGAUUUUUGGAAAAUCAAAGAUUUUCACGCAUAGAGUGUGAAAGAUAAAGAAAUAAAUCAAACUUUUUAUGGGAUAGUGUGAUGUUGAUUAAGACAUAAAGUAGUGGAAACGUUCCGGAGCGGAGGACGUCAUGAAUAUCGCAACCAAUGUACAUAGUAAGCGUAGUGAACACAAAACGUUACAUUACAUAGAAUUAUUACAUUUGUUUGAAAUCAAAGCGUUACAAGUUUUAUACACAUAUAUCAUAAGAACAAAAGAUAAGACGGGUCUUCUAUGUACUCAUCAUGGAAGCCUUUGGAGGUGUUUAAGGGCAAUUUAAGACCAUAAAAAGGUGUUUAUGGUCCAUGAAUGAGGGUUUACGGUCCAAGAAUGUUCUUGGGCCGUAAACUCAUGUCCAUACCUCAAUUUGUGAGAUUUUGGGGUCCUAAGCUCAUGCAUGCAAGUUUCUAAGCCAUAUCUAAGCACUAGGAGUGAUUUGGAUGGGUUUUGGGGCAUCAAAACCCUCUUUAGGAGUGUACACGGUUUUGGAAGGGCUAUUAAACCAUAAACACAUGUUAUUGAGUGUUUUGGGUGAUUCAAACAUAGAUUUGCAUGAUAAGAAAGACUAACAACAAGCUAGGAUAGAUUACUUACCAAAUUAAAGCUUGAAAGGGGUUUUUGGAUCAAACUUGAGUUUUGAGAGAGUGAGAGAGAUAGAGAGUAGUGAGAGAAAGUGUUUUAAGAGAGAGAAAAAGCCUCAAAAUGAUGUCACUAAAUCCCUUAUAUAGGGGUUGAGUUUAUGGCCCAGAGAAAUUCUACUCGAUACCGACGUUAAACAGAGCUUUUGGUCGUACCCGAUUAAUUUGCUGUAACUCAACGUGGUCGUAACUAAUAAUUUUCUAAAUAAUAAUUUGGGAUGUUUUCAUGAGUUAACGUGUUUGGAUACCAAUUAAGUCAUAAUAGAAGUCUCAAAAAUAUUGACUUAAUUUAAAAGCUUAAACGGAAACAAUUCGAAAAAGAUGAAUUUUAUGGACGGAAACGGGUUACGGCGAUGGAGCGAACUUCGGGCUCUCACAUGAUCCCCCCGUUAGAGGGAAUUUCGUCCCGAAAUUCAAACUUUAGAUGCGACUCGCGGAUUUGGAAAGAGAUUACGGAUACUUCUGUUUCAUCGGAAUACGCACUCCCAAGUGAAUUCAGAUCCUCGCAUGACAUUCCAGGGAACCUUUCACUUAUCGGGAUACGGCUUGUUUCACACGUUUAAUCUCUUGAUCUAUGAUUUCGAUUGGUUCUACUAUGAGGUUCAGAAUUUUGUUGAUUUCGGUCUCAUCGAAGGGAUUACGAGGGUUUCGCCGAAUAUGUACUUCUUAAGGAUAGAGACGUGGAAUACCGAAUGGAUGGUGCUACGUUCUGUGGGUAGUCGGAGUUUGUAGGCUACGGAUCGAUCCUAUUGAGGAUUUCAAAAAAUUCUAUGUACCUCGAGAUACGCGUUUCAGAAUCUAACAUGCCUUCUUUCUCACCAUUAGCUAUCUUCAUGGUAAACAUUUCAGUUACUAGUUCAGGACUAUGUUUGUGAAGAUGUUCGAAUGAAUAGCUAACAGAUUAUCUUUUAGUACUAGAAUUGAAAAGGAUUGCAAGCAUAAGGGUUAUCGAAGAGGAAUAUACCUGUGGCAACAGUGGGAUCGGCGGCUGCCUCACCUUGUCCUAUAGCUAGGACUCUUUCAGUGUUGCCAGUUGUUGUUGUCUUGGGGAAGUUUCUCUUAUAAUGCCCGACUUUGCCGCAACCGUUGCAGGCCUGACUGAUACCUGCUUCGGAGACUUGAUUGGUUGGUGUUCUACACCUUCACGCAAGGUGACCCUCUUGGCCAUAAUUUUUGCCAAAUUUCACACGACAGGGACCGGGGAUGUGGUGGUGGUAACUGCAUCGGUUACACCACGGGAGAAUAUCGUCAUAUCCGGUGAUAGGUGCUUGGGUUGAGGAACCGACGAUAGAAACAGCAACAGGGGUAGUGGCAGCGUGGACUGCCACUAUCUGCUGUUUCUUCGAGAACUCUUUUGAAGGCUGACUUUUCUCCUUCGUCUCCCAAUAUUAUCUUUUCUCACCACUUCUCUCUGUCGGCUCAGGAGUGGUGGCUGCUUCCUCUAUGUCCUCAGUAUGGUUGAUCAGGAUUUGCGCUAAGCAUUUGGUGCUGUCGUAUGUAUCCGGCAUCGCAGCUAAAACAUUCCAUUUGGUUGGCUGGGUCAACCCCAAGAUAAACUUCUCAAUCUUCUUACUCUCUAGGGUAACCAUCCCCGGACAAAGAAGCACCAAGUCGUCAAACCUUGAAGUGUAAGCGGCGAUAUCAGAACCCUUCAUCUUCAGGUUCCAGAGUUCAUGCUCCAGCUUCUGAAUUUCACCCCGAGGGCAGUACUCCGCGAACAGAAGUUCCUUCAUGACUUCCCAACCCAUAGCAUUGGCUACAGGUAGGGUUAAGGAUUUGACUCGGUUGUUCCACCAAGUCAGAGCUUUAUCGGUGAACAUGCAGGCGGCGAAUUUCACCUUGUCGGAAUUUGAACAAGCAUAGAUCUCGAAGAUAGAUUCGAUUUUUUCUAACCACCGAGUUAGGGCAAUGACACCUCCUAUGCCAUCGAAGAAUGUGGGGUUCGCGUUCAUAAAGUCCUUAUAGGAACACUCCUUCCGGUGUCCCUGGCUACCUUCUUGAUUUUGGGGCUGGGGACCACCUCCUGGACCACCGGGGUUCANUGCCACUGCGGCAGCAACAGCUGCCUGGAACAAUACGAGAUCAAAUUGGGGGAGGAGGUGGUGGCGGAGGGUUGUUGUUGUUCUUUGAGUUGGGUCUCUCACUUGGAGGCAUCUUGAUCUAAAAAGAUCAAGAAAGAGAGGAUGGUAAGUCCUCUGAAUUCAAUUAAGAGAUAUGGAACUAGGGAUACCUCUUUAUGACAGACAUAUAAUUCUAUUAAGCGAUANNNNNNNNNNNNNNNNNNNNNNNNNNNNNNNNNNNNNNNNNNNNNNNNNNNNNNNNNNNNNNNNNNNNNNNNNNNNNNNNNNNNNNNACGCUGGGAUGAGAAUUUCUAUAACGGAUUUGGCUCGAGAAAUACUCCCAUAGUAUUUCAUGUCUCGCUGCAACGACGGCUCGUUGUUUGGGUAUUGGGUAUGUUUUAGGCAUGUCGUAUACCGCAGUCACUCCCAAGUACAUGUUGGCUGUGUCUCGAAUGAAUAUAGUUGGCCAGGCUAUAUUGAUCGUAGACACGACUACAUAACUGCCUUGGUUUAACCGUAGUGUACAACACGCAUUUACUUAUGUUUUGUUCUACUUGUAGUUACGGAUUUCGACGGUUAGGUAUACUUGUAUACUUAUGGAAAUACUUAUAUUUUAAAGUAUACUUUUAGUUCAGAGCACUUAUUCCCCUUAGUGUUUAUAGUCUUAUACCAUGUAACAUUUGGUAUACUAGUUCACUGUAAACAAGGGCUCUGAUACCAAUCUGUCAUACCUCGAAACCGAAGGCGGAAACGUUCCGGGGCGGAGGACGUCAUGAAUAUUGCAACCAAUGUACAUAGUAAGCGUAGUAAACACAAAGCAUUACAUUACAUAGAAUUAUUACAUUUGUUUGAAAUCAAAGCGUUACAAGUGUUAUACACAUAUAUCAUAAGAACAAAAGAUAAGACGGGUCUUCUAUGUACUCAUGGAAGCUCAUGGAAGCCUUUGGAGGUGUUUAAGGGCAAUUUAACACCUUAAAAAGGUGUUUAUGGUCCAUGAAUGAGGGUUUACGGUCCAAGAAUGUUCUUGGGCCGUAAACUCAUGUCCAUACCUCAAUUGGUGAGAUUUUGGGGUCCUAAGCUCAUGCAUGCAAGUUUCUAAGCCAUAUCUAAGCACUAGGAGUGAUUUGGAAGGGUUUUGGGGCUUCAAAACCCUCUUUAGGAGUGUUCACGGUUUUGGAAGGGUUCUUAAACCAUAAACACAUGUUCUUGAGUGUUUUGGGUGAUUCAAAUAUAGAUUUGCAUGAUAAGAAAGAUUAACAACAAGCUAGGAUAGAUUACUUACCAAAUUGAAGCUUGAAAGGGGGUUUUUGGAUCAAACUCGAGUCUUGAGAGAGAGAGAGAGUAGUGAGAGAAAGUGUUUUAAGAGAGAGAAAAAGCCUCAAAAUGAUGUCACUCAAUCCCUUAUAUAGGGGUUGAGUUUAUGGCCCGGAGAAAUUCUACUCGAUACCGACGUUAAACGGAGCUUUUGGUCGUACCCGAUUAAUUUGUCGUAAGUCAACGUGCUCGUAACUAAUAAUUUUCUAAAUAAUAAUUUGGGAUGUUUUCAUGAGUUUCUAACGUGUUUGGAUACCAAUUAAGUUAUAAUAGAGGUCUCAAAAAUAAUGACUUAAUUUAAAAGCUUAAACGAAAACAAUUCGAAAAAGAUAAAUUUUAUGGACGGAAACGGGUUACGGCGAUGGAGCGAACUUCGGGUUGUCACACCCUUUGAAAUACGAUCAUGUACUUAUUAAGAAGCAAUGAAAGGAAUCUUUUAUAUAUAAGGCUUGUAAAGGUGGCUUUCUCUUCAAUUGAAGUUUCGGUUCUUGAUAUAAGACCGAAAGAGAAUGAAUUACCUGUGAGACCAAUGUGGCCUGUUGAAUAAGUAGGUUACACACACAUUCAGUGACUUGUUGAAAAUCCAAUAAGAAAUAUCAAAAAAAAAAUCUAGAUCCUUGGGGAAAAAGAGUCAUGGGGAUAGACAAUUUCAAAAGGAUCUCUCAAAAUAAAAGGAGAUUUCAUGGUAACUCCACAUAGAGUGGUUUCGUUAAUUCAUUGGUGAAAACCGAAACAUAUUAAUUGUUCACCGUCAAUUCAUUAUGGGUAUAGAAUUUUGGGUUUCACUUAGUACGUAGUAACACGAGACUAAGAUCAUAAACACAGAUGUUGUGUAACCAUAAACCUCAGUGGCAAUUGAUGAGUGUCUUAAGGGUUACGUUAAUGAUAUGAAGUGAGAUGGAGAAAAAUGGUGUAGGUGGUUAAGUAACCAAAUGUACCUCUGCUAUAAAAGUAUGACCAAGUAGAAAACUCUAAGCUUAAUGUGAGAAGAGUAAGUUAGCUCAUGAAUAGAGUGAAUUUAACAUCCUAAUUGGGAAAACAUGAUUUGUAUAUAUCACAUCAUUAAGGCUUCACUCAAAAUCUAUACAGGCUUCGGUCGACAUGAAGCAACAAGCUUCCAGGGACACUUAACUGAUACAUAGAGAAAUUUAUACCUGCUCCAGCUCCAUCAUCGAGAAUAGCUUUUAAACAUGAAAUCAUGAGAAAUAUGAAACAAAAUAUUUUUGUAUUUUAUGUAAAACUUCUAAAGAAAAAGAAAACAAAAAGAAAACUAUUUUUGGAUUUUAUGAAAAUAAAAAAAUGAAAAGAAAAACAUAAAAAUGAGUAUGUAAAAGAGUGUACAAAAGUAUACAACCAAAAUUCCUUUUAAAGAAAAUAAAGUGAACCGAGUUCAGUAGGACCGAACCCAAAAUAGACCGAGUGUUCGGUUCAUUUCAGUUCCCGGGUGAACCGAACCCGAAAUAGACCGAGCGUUCGCUCUAUUUCCCUUUCAACCUUUAAUGAAGCGAAGCCGAUUUCGGUACUGAUGCAGCUUCCAUCAUUCCUAGGCCUUGUAGGAUCUUAUUGAAACUUGGUUUAGGUAAGGCCUUAGUAAAGAUAUCUGCUAAUUGAUCAGUGGUUCUAACUGUUGGGUUUUGAGCAUUCUAACACUCCUAUGUGUACAUGCAACCCUAAAUACCUUAGAUCUAUGUUUUCCCUAUUAUACAUGCAAAUAAGAACUUCCAAGGUAUUAUCCUAAUCUAGCAUACAAAACAACAAAUAUAACAAGAUAGAAUACAUACCUCUUUGAUGUAGAAAGUCUUCAUGAAGCUUGAGUGCCUAGUGCCCCAAGUGUGACACCUCAAAUGGUUCACACAACACCAAAUACAAAUGGAAUAACUUGAGAGAAUUCUACACUUCAUGAAAAUCAGCUAGCCCUUUCUUACUCUCUCUAGUGGCCGAUUUUGUUCAAGAAUAAGAUGCAUAUAUAGUUAGGGUUACACCAUGUAAACCCUAAUUGAGAUGGCCUUUCAUUUCUAUGAUCCAUGGGUACAAAUACACCAUGGAGCAUCAUAUGGGUUUUAUGUUAGUUUUUGAGCAAUCUAACACUUCCUAAGUGUGCAUGCAACCCUAAUAAACCUUGGAUCGAUGUUUGUCUAAAUACAUGAAAAAUAAUAAUUUUCCACGGUUCAUAACCUUUCUAACAUGGUAUGGGGUACUUUUAAACAUAAAAGAGUUAGAAGAGAUUAUAUACCUUUUUGAUGAGUUUGAUUCUUAUGGAGUUUGAGGGCCAAGCACCAAUAAUGUGAAUGCCUCAAAUGGAAUCACAAAUCACCACAAACACUUGGAAAACUCUAGAGAGUGUACACACACUUGCAAUUUUCGGCCACACACAAGCACACACACUAGUGGCUAUUUCAUGCAACAUAAGCAUGCUUAUAUAGUGUACAUGGUUAGGGUGAAACCCUAAUAACCCAUGACCUUUCCUUUUCCAAGGAUCCAUGGGUUAAAAGCUCCAUGGAUCAUCCAUGGACUUCCAUACAAGCCUAGCCCAUUAACAAAUGAGUAUUAGCCCACACUAUAUAAAACCAAUAGCCCACAAUCUAAUUAGUCUUCCUUUUAAUCUCUAAAUUAAUUCAUAAUUAAUUUAAGACNCUAGUGGCCGAUUUUUCCUCAAUAAUAAGAUGCUUAUAUAGUUACACAAUUAGGGUAAACUCUUAAUUGUCAUGGCUUUCCAUUUCCUUGGAUCCAUGGGUACAAAUACACCAUGGAGCAUCCAUGGACCAUCCUAUGGGUUUUAGCCCAACUUGAUUAUCCAUGGAGCAUUAGCCCACUAUACAAGUAUGGAUGAUUUACACAAUCAACCCAUAUAUUUAAUUAGUCUUCUUUUGAUCACUUAAUUAAUCCUAGAUUAAUUCUUGAUCAAUACUAAUUAAAUAAUCUUAUUAUUCUUAUUAUUAAUAUACUAGAACUUAUAAUAUAUUAAUAACCAUAAGUGUCUUAUUUCUCUCAUUAUAGUCUAUCCAAGUGCAUGAUGCCAUGCAACCCAAAUGGACCAUGUCGGGUCGGGUCAAGUCUUACCAAUUAUAGUUAUACACUUAGACAUUAAUCCAACAGUCACCCACUUGGAUUAGUCUAAAACUAUUAUUGCGUAUGACUUCAGGAACCGACUGGCAAUCGUAGCUCUCAAAAGCUUCUGUCGAACUCUGACCUUGUCGAUGAACUCUGACCUUUGUCAAUGACUUGUCCAUUAGAUAAGGGAUCAUAUAUUCCUCCAUUCUAGAUAUCAUAUGGACUGAGACAUGGAUUAUAAUCAUUCUCUCUGUCCAUUUGUUGUUUCCCGAUUUCCGAUUUAUGACGACUGACUAAUUGAACAAAUCAAAUCAGUCCUGGCCCGGCCGAGCACUUCCAUUUGUCAUCAUCAAAUCAUCGAGGGGCCCACAGAUAUCGCUUUUAUCCCGAAGGUAAAAGGAAUGGAUAAACUUCGACUCAUAUGGCUUGUUCUACUACUUGUUGAAUCAUACACAAAGGCACGUUUUAUAGCACCGAGUUACCAAAUGCGUUUUCGUGCAAUCAAUGUACUAUCAACUCAUAGUAACAACUCAUAUCUCUAGGUUUGAAGAAUAUAAGAUAUUAUCGUCUCAUGAUCACUCGUGAUAAAAUCCAUGAAGUGAUUCCAAUGAGCGCGGGUUGAAUCCAAUACUCAGAACUUAUGAGCACUCAUGAGUGUUGUAGCCCUUUGUCCAACACCUUAGACCUCUACAAGCCAACCCAUGACAGUCUUAAUUCAUAUCUACUUCCAACAUAUGACCGACUGUGGAUGGUUUGAAUAACUUAGUCAUUCCGGAAGAAUAACCUAGUUUAUUCGGGAAGUCAAAACAUGCAAAGUGAAACACAAUAAUAAUUGAAUCCAAUAUGGUAUCAAAACUUUGAACAUAAAUAAAACACCUUUUAUUUAUCACCAUAUGAUUACACAUUAUUCAUUGUAUACUGUUUCAGCUAUCAACUUUAUUCUUGAAUUUAAAACAAUAGUUGUCCCAUGCUCCAAGCAUGUACACUAUGUUUUCUUAAACACUAGUCAUGCCACACACCAAGUAUGCAUACUAUGUUUGUCUAUGAUCUUUACUUUGUGAACUAGAUCAAUUGAACAUAACUUCAAUGAUUCUCUUUUCACACUCCCAAAUCCUUACUGCAAAUGCAAGAAUUCCAAAUUCAUGCCAUUUACUGAAAUCUGUUAGAUUCUAAACUUAUAUGCAUUGAUCCUCUUGUAAUGAUUAUGCACAAAGUCAGAAAGACUUGACAACAAUCAUUACAGAGUAUUCCAAAGGAGAUCAGCUCCUUGGAAACAUCCUUCUUGCAUUAAGUUUCCUAAUCUUAAACAGAUUGAAAAUUCUAACUUUGAAACAUUUCCAGAUUCCAUUUUGACUAUCACUUCUGAACAAGAGUUGCCUCCUUACAGAUUAUGUCAAUAUGGUCCUUCCAGAAUUAUCACUAUACUUCCAACUGUCCUUGAGCAACCAAUCUUUGGUAAACCUUAGAUUGUCCUCGACAAUUGUUUAAUCCUUUUAGUCAUAUCCAGUUCUAAACCUUUUCCCUUCUUAAUGCCCCAGGCAUUUGGAAAAUUUUAGAACGGAUGAAUAUAGCACAUGUAAUCGAUCCUAUAUCCGAAGCAUAUGGGACACGAUUCAUGAUGUCUCACAUAAAGACUAAACCAGUCUUUUGCUAUAACAUUUCCAUUUCAAUUUGCCAAGUUCUCAUAAUUCAGAUUAUGAAAAGGGAUGCCGUAAUCAUAAUCGAAUUUUAGAACGCAAAUAAUGGACCCAUAUACAGAAUUUCCUUAUGUUGAGCCAUUCCAACAUGAAAUUCAUAUAUAUCCUUGACUAAAUGAUUAAAACCUCACGAUCUAAGCUUAUAGAUUUGAGAUGAAGUAUAAUUUCCUCUCCCUUAAUUAUAGCAAAACAACUUUUUCCCAAUUGAAACUUUUGUUUUCUAUAAUUAACAUUGCUAACUUGCAAUACUUAUCAUAAUUAUCAUGCUCCCACUAACAUGAUGAUUAUUAGCAUAACACUUAUGCUCCCACUAGCUUUGACAUGUACUCAGAAAUCAGCUGGACUUCUAGAAAUCAAUACUUCAUUGACUUUCUUACCAAAGUUCAGAUUUCUGAUGCUAGAUUGUUUUGAUAAAACUUUAUCAAAAUCAUACACCUUCCCUUAGAUAGCACACUUGUGUGUCUAAACAAUUAUGAAGAGGUAUGCCGUAAUCAUAAUGGUUAGACCUUUUUGCCACUUCUCACAAGUCCAGGUUAGUGUGCCGGUAAACCACACACGCUCCACUAACGACUUUGAGAAUGCAAAUAUCACAAUUGCUAUCUAGCUAAAAUCUACUUAGUGAAAGUGUUUCCUCACCAUCAUUUUCAUGAAUCGGAGAGAAACCUUAUGACACUUAGAUUUAAUGGUGUAUGUGUUCUUAUCCAUGUGAAUUGUCAAAACCAUAGUCACAAGACAAGGAUAAUGACAAAUCCAAACUCAUAUGGACUGAACUCAAUCUUAAUUUCUUGCCACCUGGCAGCUCAAGGGCCUGCCAUUGCUUCCAAGUUGUUGUGCAACAAAUUGAGAACUCUAAGAACUCAUAUGCAAAGCCAACUUUAACUGGAAUGGGCACAGAAUAUGUCAACACGAUAGGUUAUGAACCUCAAGUCGUGUGCUAGUGAAGAACUUCAGGUUUUAUUCUUGAUUAGUUCUUGAGACUUUCAAGACCUUUAAGACUCCCACUGUCCUCUUGACAUAUAAGACUCCCUUGUCAAACAUCCAAGAGAUAGUGCGGAUUCUAAUCAAGAAAAACACUUUACCCAAUUGGCCUAAGUUGGUCUUUGUUUUAUCCAAAACAUCACAACUUACCAAUUUCAAAUGUACAAGAGUAGAAAACUUUUACUCUUACAUUUGACAAGUGUUUUAAACCUUCUUUAAGACAUGUCACUCAAAUGACAAUCUUGGAGUAUGACUCUAAGACUUGUAUUGGAACGAAGUAUGACUCAUCUUCUUGAUUUAACCAUUUCAACAAUUCAAGUUCCUCUUCUUAGUCAUAAGAAUGCACUAAGAUUUCCUUAGAGAACUAAUUUUGAUAUGGUUUCUUAAUCAUUAAGAUGAUCACAAAACUGAUACUAAAGUACUCUCCCAUCUUUUCAGAUUUGAGAAACUUUUAUCCUUCUGCCUAAUUUGAUUCUUCUUAUUCGCCCUGCCAUACAUUGGAACCUUUUCCAAUGUCUCAGAGUUACACUUAAGCUUGUAAGUAUAAUCAUAUUUACUGAGCUUUAGUAAACUAUGACGAAUAGUCUUAUCAAUCUUUUGUGGUGGACUUAAUCAGUGCACAAGAAUGUGUACUCGAUCCCUUAGUCCUUUACUUGACUCACACAUCCAUGUGGCCGAGUAAUUAGUCUUAAUUUUCCAAAACUUGAAAGUUCUCAUUCAUCAUGCUAUACAACUUGCAUGAUUCCAAGUUCCGGUCCAAUUGAAACUUGGGUGAUGAGAAUCUUUCCUUAUUUGGUAAAUCUAGACAUUACCACAAAUGAAAGAAUCAAUUUCAUAUUUCCACUCUUGCUCUUAAUGGAAUCAUAUAAGCAACAAUUUUUCCUCAAAAGCCAUUGUAAGGAUAUUUUAAAAUAAAUAAAAUCAAAAAAUUUUUCUUUUAUUUUAAAACUUUGCGGAAAAACUUAUCCUUACAAUCCAUAUGAAAACUUGUUGUUAUCUAUUCCUAAGCAAUAUCUCAUAACUCCUAAGAAGUUGCUCAAGAAUCCGAUCUUCAAACUAUGCGAUAGAAAUCCAUCUACGCCAUCAGAUUCAGCAUAUUCUUUCUUUAAGUUUCUUCACUUUUCUUUGAUUCUUAAAACAUCACCAUGUGACCCAGUCACAUCAUGUAUCAGGAAUCUCAGAAUAGAAACUUAACAGAGUUAGAUAGUGGACUUUACCUGAAGUAGAGUCAAACUUAUUGACUUUAACAUCCUUAGGUAAAUUUGGCAGCUUCGCAACCAAUGCCCCUUCCUUUGGCAAUAUAAACAUAUGGACCCUUUGAUAAUGGUACACGAGACUAUCACAGACUUAGCUUUUCUCUUUACCAUUUGGUCAACCGAGUUGACUAUGGCCGAUCCCUUUCCAUUGGGAAGAGAAUGCUUUACUGGAUAUCCAAUGUCAUCAUUGUCAAUGUCCAUAAAGUUUUAGGAAGUUGAUCUUAGCAAAUAGAUAAGAUCAUUAAGGGUCUUGUCAUAGUCUGUUUCAUAGGUGUCCCAAAGGAACUCACUAUGUGACUUAGAAAGUGAUUGAACCACCAACUUUCUCAAGACUUUGACACCCAACUCUCCCGGCUUGUCAAUAUGUGACUACAUCUCCAAGAUGUGAUCACACCUAGACCUUGCCUUGCCAAUAGGGCUUGAGUGACCUUAAACUUUUCAAGAACUUGUGGGUUAGGGAGAAUAAUUGGAGGAGGAGAAAGAAGUAUGAUAUCCAUGGGACAUCAUCUUCAUUAGGAAACCUUGUUUCAAGAGAUUUGGGAAGAUCAUAGGUGUCUAAACCAGACAUCUUUUGGGAGAUAUUCAAGAUAGUUGAUUUAAAGUCCUUAAUAUGACACCCAAUAUGAAAUAUUAAGGCUAGGACCCAACAAACUAUUUUAUAACUUAGAAGAGGUAUGCCGUAAUCCAAGCUAUAAAAUAUUUGAAGGUAGGUGAAUGACGAUUCACCAAUUUCCACCAAGAUAAACGAAAUGUAUUAUUAGGUUUUAAUUGGUUUUGAAACUCCUAGAUCUUUGAGAUUCAUUGAACUGUUCAAAGGCAUGUUUCAAUCUCGAGUGUGCCCUUCAGGUUUUGUGACUGGGAUGCCGAGGAUCACAAAACAAGGUGUGAAGUAACCAUGCAAAUCACUUGGUACCCUUAAUAAAUUACCCCUCAAUCGAUGUGCCGGUUAACCACACACGCUCCAUCGAUACUAUGAUAAAUAUUAAGUCACCCUUUACCUACCUUGUUAAGUCCAAGUUAGUGUGCCGGUUAACCACACACGCUCCACUAACGACUUAGACAAAGUGUAAAGUGUAAUUUCAUGGAUUAGCACCUUAUUCACAUUUUUCCUAAGUAACUAAGAUUGGGUAUUAUUAAGAGUUUAGUUACUUAGUAUUAUCAUUAAUACUUUUAAUGAAGGGAGAAUUCUAGUCCUGUCAAACCCGUUCGGCUAACGACCCUCCACCAGUCAAGCAAGCGGUGGGUGAGAGUGGACACCCAUUAAGUUGCCAUUUUAUAGGCAACAACCUUAUACCCACCUUAUAGACCGGCUUCGUGAAUGAGGCGUACUAGCGGUAAGACUGACUUUACUCUUAUACAUAUAUAUAUUAUUAACUUAUAAUAUUAUAAAGUAUAAGGGUUGAAUUUUAACUUUUAAAAUUCUAAGGGCUAACUUGGAAUUAAAGUAUUCAUAAGAGAAAACUUUACAAAUUCCAAAACUUGAGGGCAAGUUUUGAAACUAUUCAAAACUAAUUAAUUCCAUAACUUAUGUGUUUAAAGUAGUUUUAAUCCAAAAACUCUUCAAGUUCCAUAACUUGAGGACAAGUUAUGGAAGACUUUAAACUAAUAAAAGAAUUAACUUUUCUUUAUUUUAUAACUUAUGGAAUUAAUUAAGGUUACAUAUUUUAUUACUUAAUGAAGUGACUCUUGAACCUCCAUAACUUAAGGACAAGACUCUUCAUCUUUUGUAACCAUUGCCAACUUUUAUGAGUUUUAUGAAACUUAAAUGUGACUUUUCAUAUAACUUGAGGACAAGUUACAAAAACACAUUUUAGAAUCAACUUUUAGAUUAAUUUGGAUUGAAAACAACUAUUUCACUCAACUUUUCUAUUAAUCUAAGCAACUCAUAAGAACAAGAUAAUUCAAAUCAAACUUUUUCAUGUAAUUAGUCUAAACCUUAAACUAAUACAAAACAUGAAUCUAUUGACAAUUAUCUUUGAAAUUGGAUUAGCAUGAACAUUACCACAUCAAAAACAAGUUUAUAAGUUCAAAAACAUCUUAGGGUAAUGUUGCUAGUCCAAUUCCAGCCAAAAAAGUCGAAUUUAUGCUGUCUGGGGGCCCAACUCGUCGAGUGCACGAACCAACUCGGCGAGUUGAAUGCUUUUUUCCUUGGACUCGGCGAGUCCAUUCAUGCACUCGACAAGUUUGCUGGGCAGACAGCAUCAAAACUCGUUUUUCCAGCUUAUUUUGCAUGUAUAACAAGAAAACAAGCCUAGGCUCUGAUACCACUAUUGGGUUUUGAGCAUUCUAACACUCCUAUGUAUACAUGCAACCUUAAAUACCUUGGAUCUAUGUUGUCUCUUUUAUACAUGCAAAUAAGAACUUCCAAGGUAUUAUCCUAAUCUAGCAUACAAAACAAUAACUAUAGCAAGAUAGAAUACAUACCUCUUUGAUGUAGAAAGUCUUCAUGAAGCUUGAGUGCCUAGUGCCCCAAGUGUGACACCUCAAAUGGAAUCACAAUCAUCAAAACACUUGGAAUGACUUGAGAGAAUUCUACACUCUUCAAAAUCGGCUAGCCCUUUCUUCACUAUCUCUAGUGGCCGAUUUUUCCUCAAUAAUAAGAUGCUUAUAUAGUUACACAAUUAGGGUAAACUCUUAAUUGUCAUGGCUUUCCAUUUCCUUGGAUCCAUGGGUACAAAUACACCAUGGAGCAUCCAUGGACCAUCCUAUGGGUUUUAGCCCAACUUGAUUAUCCAUGGAGCAUUAGCCCACUAUACAAGUAUGGAUGAUUUACACAAUCAACCCAUAUAUUUAAUUAGUCUUCUUUUGAUCACUUAAUUAAUCCUAGAUUAAUUCUUGAUCAAUACUAAUUAAAUAAUCUUAUUAUUCUUAUUAUUAAUAUACUAGAACUUAUAAUAUAUUAAUAACCAUAAGUGUCUUAAUUGUCUCAUUAUAGUCUAUCCAAGUGCAUGAUGCCAUGCAACCCAAAUGGACCAUUCCGGGUCGGGUCAAGUAUUACCAAUUAUAGUUAUGGACUUAGACAUUAAUCCAACACUAACGAAAUGAAUCUCUACAUUACCAUCUUCCACUUGAUCUUUGAUAAAGUGAUACCGCAGUCCUAUGUGCUUUGUCUUUGAGUGUUGCACUGUGUUAUGACAAAUCCUAAUUGCACAUUCUGAGUCGCAAUAUAGUGAGAUUUUCUUCAUGUUCAGCCCAUAGUCUCUAAGUUGACUUUGUAUCCAAACGACCUGAGAUGUGCAUGAUUAUGCGGCUAUGUAUUCAGCUUCGGCUGUGGAGAGAGAAACACAAGUUUGUUUCUUUGAUUGCCAUUUUACUAAUUUUCCAUAAAGAAAUUGGCAUCCUCCAGUAGUGCUUUUACGAUCCAAUCCACAACCCUCUAGGUCAGCAUCUAAGAAUUCUUAGACAAAGAAUCCUGAGUUGGUUGGAUACCAUAGACCGAGAGAGCUGGUUCGCUUCAGAUAGCGAAAAAUAUUCUUCAUUGCCAGCAUGUGAGGUUCGUGUAGCUUAGCUUGGAAUCGGGCAUAAUUGAAAACUGAGAACAUAAUAUAUGGCCUAUUGGCUGUAAGAUACAUCAGUGACCCAAUCAUCUGACGAUAAAGCGUCAUGUCAGCAGCUGGUUUCUCUAAUGAUGAUGUAAGCUUUGUGCCAAACACCAUAGGAACCUUCACUUUUGAGUCUCCCAACAUCCUAAUCUUGGCAAGUAAUGUCUUUGUGAACGCCUCCUGAUUGAUAAAAAUGCCUUAGGGUCCCUGUCUAAUAUUCAAGCCAAGGAAAAAGUUAAUCGGACCCAUUGAGCUCAUCUCAAAUUUAGUUUCCAUCAACUUCCUGAAUUCAGCUGUUAGUCUAGGAUUCAUGGAGCCGAAGAUGAUAUCAUCAACAAAAAUUUGGACAAUCAUGAGGUGGUUACCUUCUUUCUUACGAAAGAAGGUUGGGUCAACCGAACCUUGUUUAAAUUUGGACAUUUUUAAGAACCGAGUAAAUGUUUCAUACCAUGCUCUAGGAGCCUGCUUCAGGCCAUGUACUGCCUUGUCCAGAAUGUAGCAGUAAUCUGGAUACUUCUCGUUCACAAAGCCUGGAAGUUGCUCUACAUACACCAUUUCUUCAAGUUCUCCAUUGAGAAAGGCACACUUCACGUCCAUUUGAUAGACAUCAAAAUUUUUAUGUGCAACAUUAGAAAGAAAAAUUCGAACCGAUUCUAAUCUUGCAACUGGAGCGAAGGUCUCUUCAUAAUCUAUGCCUUCUUCUUGACAGUAGCCUUUAACAACCAACUGAGCCUUGUUGCGAAUCACGUUUCCUUUUCCAUCUUAUUCCUGAAAACCCACUUUAGUUGGACAACCGAAUCAUCCUUUGGAAUUGGAAUUAGUUGCCAUAAAUUGUUUCGUUCAAACUUGUUCAGCUCAUCUUACAUAACUUGACCCCAAUCAAAAUGAUCAAGAGCUAUAUUCACCGUCUUUGGUUCAACUUUGGAGACGACUGAGUUGAACAUACAAUAUUCUACUUGAGAGAAUAGUGCAGCCUGUUUCGCUUCUAGUUGUGAUCGAGUUAAGACCUUUUUAGAUGUUUCUCCAAUAAUUUUACUAUGAGGAUGAUCUUUGGUCCAAUUGAUGAGAGGAGGGUAAUUUGGAUCACAAGAGGGAUCCAGUUCUGUGUUUAUUUCUUCUUCGAGUUCAGAUUGAGUGUCAUCAUCAUUCUCACCCUCGAAUGAUGAUACGAGUUCGAUGUCUGAUUCAGAACACUCCCUUUCGAUUGGACUUUUUGUUGGAUUUGAUGAGGACUUAUUAUCCCCCUGGACUUGUGACUUAGAAUUAUCUGAUGAAGACGAACCCUCCCCCUGAACAUGAUAAUUAUCUUUUGGAGGUUCUCUUGUCGCUGGCUUUUCAGUUGCUUUCGGUUGCUCAUCUGCCAUCUUCUUUGCAGUGUCGUCAAUGAUUUGCUUCAGAUUGUCGACCUGGUUAUUUUUAGCCUUGGAUUUGGAAUUAAAAGCUCUCUCUAGUUCAUUGAAAAGUAGCAUGUAUUGCUCGACAAGAUUUGAAAUCGGCACCAUUACUUGACCGGACUUUGGAAGGAUUUCUUGCGUAACACCCUCAGUUGCCUUCAACUUCUUGACAUAGUUAUCGUCGAAAGUGACGUAGUAGGUUUCUUUAAUUUUCUUUGAACGUUUAUUCAGAAACCUAUAUGCCUUUGAGUUCGAGGAGUAGCCCAAAAAGAAACAUACAUCGACCUAUGCAUCAAACUUGUUUCGGUUAUCCUUUGAGUUGAAGAUGAAGCAUCUUGAACCGCACAUGUGAAAGAACUUCACAUUUGGCUUUCGGUUGUUCAAGAUCUCAUAAGGAGUGAUUGAGAAGCGCUUCUUCAGAUACGAUCUAUUCUGCAUGUAGCAAGCAACAACAAUAGCAUCCGCCCAGAAAUACAAAGGUAAGGAAGUGAAGUUCAGCAUAGUUCAAGCUGCUUCACACAGAGAACGAUUUCACCUUUCAACGAUUCCAUUCUAUUGUGGAGUAUAUGGAGCAGAAAAUUUGUGAGUCGUUUCCUUCUCUGCUAGAAAGUCUUCAAAAUCCUUGUUCUUGAACUCCAAGCCAUUGUUGCUUCUCACGUUACGAACCACUUUUCGUGGUUGAACCUAUACUUGUUCUAUAAAGAGUUUGAGCUUGGGAGUGGCCAAUGAUUUUUGCUUCAAGCAAAAUACCCAUUUGAAGUGAGAGGAAUCGUCUACUAUAACAAGUAUAUACUUGUUUCCACCAAUGCUUUCGAUUGAAGAAGGACCACACAGAUCAAUGUGUAGUAGCUCUGGUGGUUCUAUCGCCUUUAUGUUGAUUAUAGUAGGAUGACUUUGUCGACUUUGCUUUCCCAUUUCACAAGCUACACACAGAUGUUCUUUGUCAAAUUUGAGAAUUGGAAGUCUUCGAACGUGAUCUCCAAGCACCAGCUUGUUGAUAUCUUUGAAAUUGAGAUGUGAGAGCCUUCGAUGCCAUAACCAACUUUCGUCUGAGUGUGCCUUCGUUAGCAGGCAAACAACUGGUUUCCCUUGAAUUGGAUUGAGAUUUAGAGGGUACAUUUCUCCCUUUCACUUUGAUUUUAGCAGAAUAUUAUUGGAAUUAUUUUCAACAAUUUCUGAGCCUUCGUCAUCAAAGGAGACCUUCAAUCCGGUACCAACCACCAGUUGUGAGAUAUUGAUGAGGUUGUGUUGCAAUCCUCCAACGUAUGCUACCUUUCUUAUCGAGAAGUCACCAUUUGUAAUCAUACCAUAGCCUUUGAUUGUUCCAAAUGAAUUAUUGCCAUAUUUCACCGUUACACCAUCCUUGAGGAACCGAAACUCCCUCAGUUCGUCCCUUCUACCUGUCAUGUUACGCAAGCAACCACUGUCAAUGUACCAUUCUUUGUCGAACUGCUCGUCACGAGUAACCUGAAAAAUAUCAAGCAGAUUUAGGAACCCAAAGCUUCUUGGGUCCUUGUGAGCCUUUUAAAGGAUAUGGAAUUGUACGAGAGACAUCAAUCAGAUAAGUUCUUUUUAUUAAUGUAUUUUCAUCUUUUCUCUUGAUAGUAAAAACUUUGAUUUUAUUCGUUUUGGACUCAUUUGAGUUAGACAUAGGAUUUGUGGUUUUGACGUCUGCAUGCUUUCGGGUUUCCAUCAGGUGUCUUUCAUCUUCUGAAAGAGCUUUCCUUUCCCUUUUGAAUCUUUUGUUGAGUGAGAACGAGAACAAGAAGAAAGAGAUUUAGAAGAAAAGUUAGACCUUUGGUUAUUGCUCUUCCUUGGUUGAGAACGAAAACUACUUUCCCUUCGGUUCUUCUCACAUAUGGACUUGGGACCGAACCCAUCCGUUCGGUUACCUACAUGUUGACGACCGAAAACUUCCUUCCGGUUAUCAUUGCCCCGAGGACCGAAAUUUCUCUUUCGGUCUGUUUUACUUUGGGGACCGAACCCAUUUGUUCGGUUGUUUAUCAUCUGAUGACCGAAACUUUCCUUUCGGUUGUUGUGACUUUGUGAACCAAACCUUUGCCUUUGGUUGUUUUCAUGGUAGUAGCCAAAAAUCCUUGUUUUGGUUAUUCUUGCCAUGUAAGGGAGACUGAUUUCGUGAAGUGGAAUUGGCUCUUGUUUCUCCUUGCGACUUAUUUUUCUUUUCAUACCUAACGUAAUGAGGAUUCUAGGAUCGCCUAAAUUGUUUCCUCUAUGUGAGAUUCUUCUUGUAUCUCAAGUUACGUUUGUGCUUCGUUCUAACACCUGUUUCUGGCCUUGUGGAUGUUAACUUUCUGCUUCAGUCUUUGAGCAUGUGUUUCGCUCUUUUGAGAUGAGGUUUCGCUUGCCUCUUUGACUGGUUCGACUCGAACCCCUUUUGUACCACUAGUGCUUGGCACAUCAAAAUUGCCAGGCUUGUUGAGUGGUUCUGCGACAUACCUUCCCUUAACUUUCCAAGAUGUUUUCUCCGAUAGGACAACAGUUUCAUCAGUGUUGUCAAUUGGAGUAGACCAGAAGAAUUCAUCAUAGCCAUCAACAUUAUCUUCGUUAACUAACAUUGUGAGUUUGGCUGUUUGAUGUUCAGUUACUCCAGUAACCUUAUAGAACUGAUUAGGAGUAGUUUGGACUUUUUGGAAUACAACUACUUUUUCUUUAAGCACUUUGGUCUUAUCUUUGGAUAUACUAGCAAACUUAACUGAAUUUUCAGAGAUGAGAUUUUUGUGGUUUUCAGGUUCGCUCUUGACAAAUUCUGAGCAGUCAACCUCAUCCUCUACAGAGAUUUCACUCAUGUCAUCAUCCUCAUUAAGUGAAGAUGCAUUUUCAACAUCAAUUUUAUUUUAUGAACGUAACUUGGCAUUCAACGAGUCAAAUUUAUGUAUAGUUUCGGUUCUCAGUUUUAUUUUGUCAUUUUCAUCCAAUAGAUUUUUGAGCAUGUCCUUAUGGUCUUUUGACUUUAUGUAGGACUCUAUUUUGUCAAGACCAAUUUUUUAGGUGGGAGAUAUUUCAUCAGAGGAUACAACAUUUUUACAGUUGUAAGCUUCGACAUCGACUUCAUCCUCCUUUAGCUCAAGGAAGGGUAAAAUCAUGCUUUGUAUCUUCUUUCCUCUUUCACAAUCGAGAUGUAACUGAAUGAUAUUAAAAUAUAAUAUUUUAGCAAUCAAACAAAAAACACUUCGUUGUUUUAAAAUCUUAAUAUUGACUCGUUGCAGAUAGAUAGAUUCAUCCCUAGACCUAAUUAAAUCCUUCUCCUUUUGCUCAAUCCAGAUUCGCCUCUCCUCACUCUUUGACGAUACCCUGGUAAUUUGAUCAGUCAUGUUAGAGUUUGUGACUCAAUUUUGUGUAAGAAUACUACUUAAACUAGAAAAUUUAGAUUUUAGUCCAUUUAGUUCCUUUUCAUAGUUUGUAACGGGUAUUUUCAGAGAAAUGAGAAUACUUUGUACCUUCUUGAUCAAGUCAUCACAUUCGUUGAUCUGCACACUAAUAGGUUUCACAGCGAAACAUUUGUCCCCUCGCUCCUUCUCGUCAUCCAGUCCACCAUCUGUUGUGUAUCCUCGCAUCUGUCACACACCAGCCGUCACCAUCAAACAUCUUCCCUCAACCUUUUCUUCUUUCACCAGCAGAGCCUUACCAUGAGUAUGCUUGCUUACUUCUUCGCCCACUGAAUCUGUGGACCACACCUGAACUCCACCAAACUCAUCAUUAUCACCUGUACCCUGCACAAUUAACGCAUUCAUGGUAUUAUUGUUAGUUGUUGAUUUCUUUUUCUUGAUCUCCUCGAAUCGUCUCAGGAGGUUCGCUUCUUCAUCGUCUUCAUCAACUCUUUCUGAUGUCUUCUUCAGCAUGUAAUUUUUGGCAAAAUGAUUCUUGCCUCCACACUAAUGGCAAUCAAACCCUAAGUCACCUCCAAAAUUUGUUUCCUUCUUCGAUUCUUCAGUCUUAGAAACCAUCUUUGGUUCCUCCUUCACUUUUUCGAAACUAUAACUUCCCUGCCAGUUUCGGUUCUUAUUGGCGGGGAACUUUCUUUUGAUGAACUUUCUCGGAUUGGACACCAUCAAAACGUAUUCUUCACCAGUUAGAUCAUAGUUAGCAAGAUCCAACUCUUCUUCUUCAUCUGCACUUUUUCCCUUAGAGAUUAGAGCUAACGAACCCAAGCUGGAAACCAUAUUCGUUUCCUUUGACACAACACUUUCAUGAGACUUCAGAAUUCCCACAAGCUUCACAGUAGACACAACUGUCAUCCAUUCGGGUCUAAGAAAAUUCAUGAAGGUAACCUUUUGCUCAAUAACCUUUCUUUCUAUCCCAUGUUUUAUCAUCUUACUAAGAAGAUGAAUAAAUCGAUCAAAAGCCUGAAUAAGUUUCUCUUCGGGCUUCUAUUUGAAGUCACCAAAUUCAGAAAGUAAUAGAGUUUGAAUCGAAUGCUCCAGAUCUUCAUCAGUAGAGUAUAAUUCUUUUAGCCUAACCCAUAUCUCCUUCGCUGUAGUGCAAGAGCUUACUAAUCGAAAGGUAUCCGAUUGCAAACCGAACCUAAUAAUCCUUAAUGCUUUGUUGUUGCAUUCAAAUUUAUCUUUUUCUUCUUGAGCAACUUCCUUCAGAUCGGCGAGUAGUUCGUUAUACUCCUUUUGCGUUUUGAUUAUUUUUGAAGUGCUUGAGUGAGCAAACGGACCAACUGUGAUUGCUUCCCAAAUCAAAUACCCAUUAUCUUCUGAACCGAUUACAUAAUCUUUGAAGUGGCGCAUCCAGACUUCAUAAUCGUGGGUAUACAGGAUUAGAAUCCUUCUUGUCGAUCAAAUACUAUUGGAGAUAUUGAUCGGAUUUGACUGUGAAUCAUCCAUACACAUUGUGAUAAUGUUUGAUCGAUAACCUACUUAAGAUCAGACUUGUAAUUUAUCGUUAGGGCAAGACCGAUAAUUAAUGAGAUAUGCCAAAGUGGAAUGACAGCUGAAUUAAUAUCAAUCAAUGUAGAAAACCCUAAUAACUUCUUCAAUAUAAGAGAUGUGUAUGAAUUACACAGCCUCUUGCUUUGAUACCAAUUGAAGAGAUAAAAUCUCUAAGAUCGUUUAGAUCUUUUACAGGUUAAUCAAUGAAGAACAAAAAAUUAUAAUUAAUAAAAGAAUGAAGACAAGAUGGAAUCAAGAUAAUACUGAAUGAUUCAAAUGUAGUCACGCCUCAGCAGAGCUCUAUUAAGAACUUCCACUAUAGAGAUGAGCUAGGGUUUACAAUACGAUGAUGAAAAAUAGUAAAAGCCGUAAUUACUAAGGAUGCAUGCAUGCACCUUAAAUACUAAAACCCUAGAAUAAAACAAAACACGGUUGGACAGGCGCAAACUGGUUACAAAACUAGGCUAACUAUGACCGAGCCCAAAGACACAACAUUCAAAACUCAACAAGAACUUCCUCUAUAGAGGUGCGAUAGAGUUUAUAGAAGAAUAAAUUAGAUAAUUAAGAAAACAUUGAUGAUAACGAUGCAUGCAUGCACCUUAUAUACUAAACCCUAGAAAGACAAACACGGGUGGAAAGGCCCAAACCGUGAAUACAAAACAUACUAAAUAACAUUGGCCCAAUAACGCAACACAAUAUCUUCAACAAUCUCCCCCUUUGUAUUAACUAAAACCAUGGCCAUGUUAAUUCAAGAUUCAUUUCUGCACUUCAUAGACUUUAGGAAUAAAACUCAGCAGCAGCUUGUGAACAUGAAUGUACCAAGUGAUCACAUCAAUGAAACACUUCACAUCAUCUUUGUUGUUGCACUCAUACUUCGCAACAAGUUCCAGAAUGAACUCCGAACAAGAAGUAGCAAACAGGUGCUAGUCUUCAAGAUGAAAAUAUAACUUGCGUGGAUUUGCACUUGGAUGAUCUCUCGCAGUGUAUACUACAAACCAUCCUUCCUUGUAAAUCAUUACGGGCUUGAGUUUCUGGAAAUCUAUCAGAGCUUCUUUUGGAACAACACUUGGUUUUUUCCUUAGAACCGCAGCAAUUUCCACAUCCAUCAUCCCAAUUUGUUGAAAUGUAAGACUUGAUCAUAAUCUGAAGAUGGACAAACACCGAUUCGUACUUCUCCUUCUCUCGCAGUAAAAUGUUGAAAAUCACCAUUCAGUCAUUGGGGUUUAAUCAUGGAAAAUCUGUGAGAGUAAAUUCGCAGGCUUGACAUGUAAAUCCAUUAGCAACUUUAAACUUUGCAUUAGGGAAGCUUUUAGUCUCGAUCGGCGCAGUAACCUUCACUGCUAUAAUUUUGCUCGCACUCCAGGUCUCGAAUUGAGGAUUCAUAUGUUUCAAGUAGAAAUUAAACAACAUUUGAUCACCGGUGCUAUCCGAAAAAGGAACACUGACAACCUUUAUGAAGGCACGAAACUUGAAUGCCUUUGGAGUGAUGGGAAGGUCAAACUGCGAAUCUUGUGAGUUCUGAACAUCAAAGGAAGCAAUGGGAUCCAACCAAUAUUGACUUGGCAUAUCUACAACUUGAUUUUUCAUACGCUUUAGGGUCCACUUUGGAAAUAAUAACAUUUUACUCUUAAGAGUGGCCUAAGCUUCCUUUUCAGCUCUUUCUUUUUCCUCAGCCUCUCUGACGAUGCGAGCAUGUUCAUCAAUCUCUGCCUAGCGAGCCUUUCACAGAACAUGGUAUAGCAAUAGAAGAAUCAACCAAGUAAGUUCGUUUUAUUAGGGUUGUUUCAUCUUUUCUUUUGAUUAUAAAAACUUUGAUUUUAUUAUCUUUUGACGCUUUAACCUUAGGUUUAUGAAUUGCAUAAUUAUAGUUUUCUAACUUUUGGUUUUGUUUCCUUAGGUUAGUAUUCAUCUUCAUUUCGUCUCCUGAGCCAAUCUUCCCUUUUCCCUUCACAUCUUCUUUAGGAUUGUGCUUAGAGUGAGAAGAGUGUGUUUUAGAAGAACAACCUUGCUUUCGGGUCCCUUGUCUUGUGGAUGAGGACCGAAACUACCCCUUCGGUUGUUGAGCUCAGAACCAAAACCACUCUUUCGGUUUCUUUCGCUUCUAUUUUGGGGACCGCAACAUCCCUUUCGGUUUGCUUGGCUACAUGAAUUGUAACACCAUAAAAAUUAAAACAAUUUUUCGCAUUUUCCAACACAUUUUUACAAACUCAUUCAUUCAUAAAAUGACAUAAUAUCAUGUAUUUGUUUCACAAAAUAUCUCCCAAGAUCAAAAUACAUAAAAUCCCAUGUGUGUGUACGAAUCAAGCCGGCGCCUUCCCGCGGUCAUCGCUGGUACCUGAAACACAUAACACAUAACACUGUAAGCAUAUGCUUAGUGAGUUGCCCAAAAUACCACUCUAACACAUAAUAGCCACUCGAGGCUGUAACUCUGUCGACCCUCUGGUCAAUGUGUCUCAGUGGGGCCCUCCAGCCCCAACUCUCUGUGGGCCCUCUGGCCCUAACUCUAGGGACCCGAAAGUCCCAACUCUGUAACUCUGAAUCAUGCAUAUCACAUAUCACAAUAAAUCACAACACAUAAAUAACAUGCAAAUACACUGGCAUAUAACUCUAUAGUACUCUGUCACAUAACUCUGUUACCACACUAGGUAAAGUAUAGUGAGAAGACUCACCUCAGGCGUCUCGGUAAAUCUCUGACUCGAUGGAAAAUAUUGCCUAGCCUCCGCCUAUUCACAUAAAUAAAUACUCUUAUAAAUAUAACUCUCGAGACUAGACUCAACCUGCCAUUGGCACUCUUAGAAAGGUAAAGGACUAUUUUACCCACCCCUCUUAUCACAAGGACUCCAUUGAUGACCAAACCCUAAAAGUCAACAAAAGUCAACGGUCCCACUUUGACCCUACUAGCUGAGUGCACCCUGGUGACUCGGCGAGUUCUCACACGUCCUUUAACUCUUUGUUCUGCUUGACACGCCAAGUCCCUCCCUAUACUCGAUGAGUCAUACCAGUCAUGAAUCGUGGGGCCACCCCGACCCUACUCGCCGAGUCUCAAGAACAACUCGGCGAGUUCAUGCCAUGCACAAACUCUACUGACCUCCUAAGGUCAGAUCUGUUUCCCCAAACCAUAGAUCUAGCCUCCCCAAGCAUGAAUGUCACGUAAAGUUCGAAACUUGAUGCUUGGACAACCACAACAAGGCAUCAAAAGGAGAUUUAGUCCCAAAAAUGGCAACCUAAGUCCAAUAACCCCAAACUGAUCCAUAAAGCUCCAAGGGUUAAGGUCUCUGGACCUCUUUGUGUCCAGAUCCAAGGCAAAAACUCGAAGAGGGACUAUUUGCUCCACAUAAUUGUUGGGUUUUGAGCAUUCUAACACUUCCUAAGUGUACAUGCAACCCUAAAUACCUUGGAUCUAUGUUUUCUCUAUUAUACAUGCAAAUAAGAACAUCCAAGGUAUUAUCCUAAUCUAGCAUACAAAAACUAUGAAUGUAACAAGAUAGAAUACAUACCUCUUGAUGUAGCUUGAUGUCUUCAAGCUUUAAGAGCUUAGCCCCAAUAGUGUGGAAGCCUCAAGUGGAAUCACAAAUCACCAAGACACCUUGGAAUACUUUAGAGAAUAUGAUUACUUGGUUCUCUCUAGUGAAAUUGGCUAGCCCUUCUUUAGUGUAUCCACACUAGUGCCAAUUUCACCAACCAAAGACAUCUUUAUAUAGUAUGGAGGAUUAGGGUUAAACCCUAAUACCCAUGACCUUUCAUUUCCUAGGAUCCAUGGGUUAAACACUCCAUGGACUAUCCAUGAAAGCUUAGCCCAACCUAAAUGAACUUGGCCCAUUCCAUAUAUAUAAGAGUCCAUAUUUAAUUAGUUCCUUUUGAUCACUUAAUUAAUUAUAAAUUAAUUCUUGAUCAAUACUAAUUAAAUAAUAUGAUUCCAUAUUAAUAUAUUAGAACUUAUAAUAUAUUAAUAUUAAUCAUAAACAUACUAUUCUCAAAAGAUUAUCCAUAUAAAUUGUGUCGGUGAAGUGCAACCCAAAUGGACCAUGCCGGGUCGGGUCAAGUACAUACCAAAUAUAGUUAUGGACUUAGACAUUAAUCCAACAGUCUCCCACUUGGAUAAGUCUAAAACUAUUAUUGCGUAUGACUUCAAACCUAACUGGCAAUCGUAGCUCUUAAAGCUGCUGUCGAACUCUGAUCUUGUCAACGAACUUGUCCAUUAGAUAAGGGAUCAUAUAUUCCUCCAUUCUAGAUAUCAUAUGGACUGAGACAUGGAUUAUAAUCAUUCUCUCUGUCCAUUUGUUGUUUCCCGAUUUCCGAUUUAUGACGACUGACUAAUUGAACAAAUCAAAUCAGUCCUGGCCCGGCCGAGCACUUCCAUUUGUCAUCAUCAAAUCAUCGAGGGGCCCACAGAUAUCGCUUUUAUCCCGAAGGUAAAAGGAAUGGAUAAACUUCGACUCAUAUGGCUUGUUCUACUACUUGUUGAAUCAUACACAAAGGCACGUUUUAUAGCACCGAGUUACCAAAUGCGUUUUCGUGCAAUCAAUGUACAACCAACUCAUAGUAACAACUCAUAUCUCUAGGUUUGAAGAAUAUAAGAUAUUAUCGUCUCAUGAUCACUCGUGAUAAAAUCCAUGAAGUGAUUCCAAUGAGCGCGGGUUGAAUCCAAUACUCAGAACUUAUGAGCACUCAUGAGUGUUGUAGCCCUUUGUCCAACACCUUAGACCUCUACAAGCCAACCCAUGACAGUCUUAAUUCAUAUCUACUUCCAACAUAUGACCGACUGUGGAUGGUUUGAAUAACUUAGUCAUUCCGGAAGAAUAACCUAGUUUAUUCGGGAAGUCAAAACAUGCAAAGUGAAACACAAUAAUAAUUGAAUCCAAUAUGGUAUCAACCCUUUGAACAUAAAUAAAACACCUUUUAUUUAUCACCAUAUGAUUACACAUUAUUCAUUGUAUACUGUUUCAGCUAUCAACUUUAUUCUUGAAUUUAAAACAAUAGUUGUCCCAUGCUCCAAGCAUGUACACUAUGUUUUCUUAAACACUAGUCAUGCCACACACCAAGUAUGCAUACUAUGUUUGUCUAUGAUCUUUACUUUGUGAACUAGAUCAAUUGAACAUAACUUCAAUGAUUCUCUUUUCACACUCCCAAAUCCUUACUGCAAAUGCAAGAAUUCCAAAUUCAUGCCAUUUACUGAAAUCUGUUAGAUUCUAAACUUAUAUGCAUUGAUCCUCUUGUAAUGAUUAUGCACAAAGUCACAAAGACUUGGCAACAAUCAUUACAGAGUAUUCCAAAGGAGAUCAACUCCUUGGAAAUAUCCUUCUUGCAUUAAGUUUCCUUAAUCUUACACAGAUUGAAAAUUCUAACUUUGAAACAUUUCCAGAUUCCAUUUUGACUAUCACUUCUGAACAAGAGUUGCCUCCUUACAGAUUAUGUCAAUAUGGUCCUUCCAGAAUUAUCACUAUACUUCCAAUUGUCCUUGAGUAACCAAUCUUUGGUAAACCUUAGAUUGUCCUCGACAAUUGUUUAAUCCUUUUAGUCAUAUCCAGUUCUAAACCUUUUCCCUUCUUAAUGCCCCAGGCAUUUGGAAAAUUUUAGAACGGAUGAAUAUAGCACAUGUAAUCGAUCCUAUAUCCGAAGCAUAUGGGACACGAUUCAUGAUGUCUUACAUAAAGACUAAACCAGUCUUUUGCUAUAAUAUUUCCAUUUCAAUUUGCCAAGUUCUCAUAAUUCAGAUUAUGAAAAGGGAUGCCGUAAUCAUAAUCGAAUUUUAGAACGCAAAUAAUGGACCCAUAUACAGAAUUUCCUUAUGUUGAGCCAUUCCAACAUGAAAUUCAUAUAUAUCCUUGACUAAAUGAUUAAAACCUCACGAUCUAAGCUUAUAGAUUUGAGAUGAAGCAUAAUUUCCUCUCCCUUAAUUAUAGCAAAACAACUUUUUCCCAAUUGAAACUUUUGUUUUCUAUAAUUAACAUUGCUAACUUGCAAUACUUAUCAUAAUUAUCAUGCUCCCACUAACAUGAUGAUUAUUAGCAUAACACUUAUGCUCCCACUAGCUUUGACAUGUACUCAGAAAUCAGCUGGACAGUCUGAAAUUUAGAUUCAUACACCCUUUCCGUAGAUAGCUCACCUGUGUGUCUAAGCAAUUUCAAGAACCAUGAAAAGGGAUACCGUAAUCAUGGUCUCAAUUGCUUAGGCAUUUGCCAUUUCUCACAAGUCCAUGUUAGUGUGCCGGUUAACCACACGCGCUCCACUAACGACUUUUGAAAAUGCAAAUAACACAAUUGAUAUCUUCGUAAAAUCUACUUAGUGAAAGCGUUUCCUCACCAUCAUUUUCAUGAAUCGGAGAGAAACCUUAUGACACUUAGAUUUAUAUGGUGUAUGAGUUCCUACCCAUAUGAAUUUGUCAAA